CCACUUAAAAGUCAACCAGUCAACAGGAAAAUCAACAUCCACAUCAAGUGAAAGUAAGCCACAAUUCUCCAAAUUGAAAAAUUAACUGGAUUUUAAAGGGUGAAAAGUAAAACUCAGUUUGUGAUGAUUAUCGUGCAACAUAUCUGGUAUUAUCACCAAGCACGGAUACUAAAGAAGCUCUUUAUCAUAUUAUUCAGAAAAGGUCAAUUUCUCUCCUAACGGGNNNAUUGCUCCUUCAAGAUAUCGAGGCAAAUGCUGCCAUUGCUAUUUAUAUUUGGAUGGAAUACCUUUGUUCUAAAAGCCACCUACAAGAUACACCCGUAUAAAAUUAAUGAAACAUAAAUGCACAACCACACACAUAAAGCAAGCUGCACUGGACUGCAGCAGACGUAUAGCACACAUGUGCGACGAUUUGUAAAUAGUAUAUGCAUAUUAGAGAAUUUUACAGCCUGCAGGAAAGGCAAUAGAGGCAUGGUGCUAGGUUUCUCUGCGCAGAUACAAGCCAAAUUACUCAGCCUGUACUCAGCAGUUUCCAUUCCGUAAUUAGUCCUAAGCUCCGUUUAUAGAAAGAAAUUCUCAGAAUAAAGUAAACGAAGAGCUUGUUUAGUCUUAUUUCAGGAGGAUAAAGUAGGGUAGCAGAAUAAAGUACUUUACAAUUUUCAGACAUCUCAACAACAUUAUAUACAAUAUACACCUUUCCUAUUUUGACCUUCAGACCUUCAAUAAAAGACACCACCAAAGUCUAAAAUAUAACUUAUAUUACCCCUAGAAUGCUACAAGCCUUCCAAACAUGAAAAGACAUUCUACUUUAACACUACUACAAAUAAAACUAAAAUAUAUUAGAGAUGGACAAACUUCAUUGAUGGCACAAGAUUAUCUCACUCCUUGAGUUGUAUAUGAAUGAUGGGCAAAAGCGCUAUGGAUUCAGACAAUUUAUGUAGAUAAAAAUGGGCAGAAGUUUAAAGCAUAGCAGCUAUAAAAGAUUCAAAAGACAGGAACACAGAUUAUAUGCAAACAAGAUACAAUACCUUCGGAGGCUUAAAUGGAUAAUCUGGAGGAAAAUGAAUAGUAACUAGAAAAACACCUCCUGCAUACGGACUGUCGGGAGGUCCCAUGAUUGUUGCUUGCCAAUGAAACAUGUCUUCAGCAACGGGACCUAAAACAUUAAAAGAAGCAACCAAGUCAAUCAAUAGCACAACUAGAUAUAAAGUUUUAAGCAUGUACACUUCAAAAAUUGAAGCCAGGUCCAAAAGAAGAAAGACUACAUAUAAAAAAUAAAAGAGUAAACUGACUUGCAUAUUGAUAACCAUACCUAUGCUCAAUCCAAAUAAAAAAUUGAAAUUGAGUAUCAAAUUGAACAAUCAAAACCGAUAACUGACUUAUAUUUUAAUAACCAUACCUAUAUCCACUCCAUAUGUCCUAUGGCAUUGUAAACUCGGAAGGACAGAUUUGAAUUUUACUUGAUUCAUAAUGGAUUGCUAAUUUGGGGCCUUGCUAGAACAUUAUCCCAAUAUGUGAAACAUGAAGCUAAGCAAUCAGCUUAUGAUUGACCAGAACAGUUGGUAUAGUUACUUUCAAUAUCUUUUCCGUGUUAUAAUAACAUAACAAGCCCAUCAAAGCCAGACUAAUUUCUCAAUCAUAAUUUCCCUACAAAGCAACAAGCAUCAUAACAUAAACACAACCCAAAUUUUGCACUCUUCUCCAGAUCAACUUUUAGCAUGAUGUUGCAAGAGAGCUAAAUAAAUUUAAAACAAAUAAAAUUUAAAAUUAUAAUAAAAGAAAUCCCAAAAGCCAAGCACAGACUUAUAACUCUAAAAUCGAAUAAGGUGAUAACAGGAGAGAUCAAGUUAAAGUCGAAGAAUAAAAUUAUAACAGAGAAACCAGAGAAAAGCAUACCAGCGCUGCACGAUGUGGGAGGAUCCUUCUGUAAAUCCUUGAGCUCCUUCAAGAUCCGUUUGGAUGCCAUCUAUCAGUCUGCGAUUAAUUAUCUCUUCAGAUCAAACAUCAAUAAUAACAAAUCAAACAAACAAAACGCGAGCACGCACAAAACAUACAAAUAAAAGGCAAACAGGCAAGUACAUAUAAUACAUAUAUAUUACCUGGCAAUCGCUGAUCCUCCCUUAUGAGCGUGUGUGAUUGGUAGUUCCUGAGAGGGUUAGGAGAUUGUUUGAGAUCGAGAAAGAGAAGAGGAGAAGACGCGGAGAGAAUAAUCAGUGUGUNNNNNNNNNNNNNNNNNNNNNNNNNNNNNNNNNNNNNNNNNNNNNNNNNNNNNNNNNNNNNNNNNNNNNNNNNNNNNNNNNNNNNNNNNNNNNNNNNNNNNNNNNNNNNNNNNNNNNNNNNNNNNNNNNNNNNNNNNNNNNNNNNNNNNNNNNNNNNNNNNNNNNNNNNNNNNNNNNNNNNNNNNNNNNNNNNNNNNNNNNNNNNNNNNNNNNNNNNNNNNNNNNNNNNNNNNNNNNNNNNNNNNNNNNNNNNNNNNNNNNNNNNNNNNNNNNNNNNNNNNNNNNNNNNNNNNNNNNNNNNNNNNNNNNNNNNNNNNNNNNNNNNNNNNNNNNNNNNNNNNNNNNNNNNNNNNNNNNNNNNNNNNNNNNNNNNNNNNNNNNNNNNNNNNNNNNNNNNNNNNNNNNNNNNNNNNNNNNNNNNNNNNNNNNNNNNNNNNNNNNNNNNNNNNNNNNNNNNNNNNNNNNNNNNNNNNNNNNNNNNNNNNNNNNNNNNNNNNNNNNNNNNNNNNNNNNNNNNNNNNNNNNNNNNNNNNNNNNNNNNNNNNNNNNNNNNNNNNNNNNNNNNNNNNNNNNNNNNNNNNNNNNNNNNNNNNNNNNNNNNNNNNNNNNNNNNNNNNNNNNNNNNNNNNNNNNNNNNNNNNNNNNNNNNNNNNNNNNNNNNNNNNNNNNNNNNNNNNNNNNNNNNNNNNNNNNNNNNNNNNNNNNNNNNNNNNNNNNNNNNNNNNNNNNNNNNNNNNNNNNNNNNNNNNNNNNNNNNNNNNNNNNNNNNNNNNNNNNNNNNNNNNNNNNNNNNNNNNNNNNNNNNNNNNNNNNNNNNNNNNNNNNNNNNNNNNNNNNNNNNNNNNNNNNNNNNNNNNNNNNNNNNNNNNNNNNNNNNNNNNNNNNNNNNNNNNNNNNNNNNNNNNNNNNNNNNNNNNNNNNNNNNNNNCAAUCGGUUCAACCCAUAAAGUUGACCAACUUAGUUUUUUCUGUGUAUUAUUAAUACAAUAAUAUUAAAUUAACAAUGAUAUACUAAUAAAAUAAAUUACCUCAUGAAUUAACAUUUUAUAUUUUAACAGAAAAUUACAUAUGUAGUUUAAUUAAUUUAGAGAUCUAUUUAAACUAUUUUAGCUAACCAAUUUUUUUAAGUAAAUAAGAAUUAGUGGUUGAGUUUUAAAAGUAUUAAUCUAACCAUCAUAAUUUAGUAUAACAUUCAAUAAAAACUUAUCAUGAAACAUAAAAAAAUCUUUAUAAAGUAAUUGUGAAAGAGAAGUCAUGUAAAAACUAAUCUUAUUUUAUUUCAACUUAAAUAAAAUUACUUAGUGAUUAAACAAGUGAUAUAAAAUUGAGAGAUACUAUUCUCACUUUAAAAAUUAUUGAUUGAUUUAGAGAAAAAUUAGGUAAUAAUUUUAUAAAAAGAUAAGAGAAAUUCAUGGUAGGUAAAAUUAAUACAUAUAUGAUAUUUCUAGUAUUUUUAAUCUAAAACUUUUCAUAACAAAUAUUAUUAUUAAAAUUGAUAUGAUGGUUAACAAAUAAUAAUAGAUGAAAUUAAUACAUGUAUGAAGAUAAAGAAAUCAUCCAUUAAACCCAUAAUAUAUAAGAUUCAUAUAUAUAUAAAAAGUAAGACUAAACACUUGUAGAACUUAGUCUAACAUAUUUAAUCUAAAGAUAAUUGUAAUUAAAUAGAAAUAUAUAAAUCAGAAGAUUAAAACUCCUUCAAAAUUCAAAGAUUAUUCAAGAAAUGAAGAAAAUUGAUCCUCACUCUCCGCGUCUUGAAAAGCUUAUAUAAUUAUUGAAAAAACAAUGAAAAGCUAACUAAAUAUUAUAAAAGAUGAACUGUAGGGAAUUCGUAGGGAAAAUAAUAAUAGAUCAUUUCCUUUGUUUAAUUAGCAUAUACUUUUUAUAAAGAUUCUUUUUUUUAAGUCAUUCUCUCAUCAUAAUAUUACUAUAGUUAUCAUCUUUACUGUUCUAAAUAAAAUAGACAACUUAAGAGAUAACUAUCAUUAAUUACAUUAUAAUUAAUUAAUUUUUCAUUCGUGGGCCUUUAAUGAAUUCGAUUAUGCCUGUAAUAUUAGUAGUCCACGUGUCUUUAUUUCGAGUCUUUUACAGUCGCAGUCUAAUUAAAACUUAUUUAUGGAUUUUUAGCUCAUAUUCUCUCUUUUUGACUAUUAUCACCUGAAAUUAGACAAAAAACUAAAAUACAAUAAAGAACACAUAUUUAUACAUAUUAUAUAUAUAAAACAUAUUUUAUAUAUAUAUAUAUAUAUAUAUAUAUAAGAUUAAGUUUUUCCAUGGAAUUCCAUUUGAUAAUAUUUUAAUAAGCCACAUCAUAUAAAAUUUUAAUAAAAGAAAUAUAUGUGACUUUGGUGUGGUUAUAUAAUAAAUUAUUAUAAUAUUAAAUACUAAUCAAAUAAAUUCAUAAUAUUAUAUGCACUUUAAUAUCAAAUACUAAUCAAAUAAAUAAUAAAUAAUAUAUAUACAUAAGAAUAAUUUUUCUAUGAGGCUCCACUUGCUAACAUUUUAUAAAAUCAUAUCAUGUAGAGUUUUAAUAAAAAAGAUACAUAACUUUAAUGUGGUUAUAUAAUAAUUUAUUAUUGACAUUAAAUACUAAUUAAAUAAAAUUAUAUUACUAAAUACAUUCUAAUAAUAAAUACUAAUCAAAUAAAAUGAUAUAAUUAAAUGCUUAUUAAAAUAAGAUAAUAUCUAAAUAUAAUUAAAAAUUUUGGUGAUUAUAUAAUGCCACCAAUUUACUAUAUAUAUCUAUUAUUUAUUAUUUUUCUAUGACGGUUAAGUUUUAAAAUUAUUAAAAUAAAAUUAUUAAAGUAAAAUAUAGUUAAAUAUAAUAAAUUAUUUUUAUAAUAUAAUAUAUUAAUAACUGAAAUAAGAUAUUUUCAAUUAAAAAUUUAAACUAUAAACUUAUCAAUAAUUAUGUAUUAACAUAAAUAAAAAAAAUAAAUAUUCAUUAAAAUAAAAAAUUAGUGAUUACAAUAACACUUUUACUAUGUAAUUAUUAUAGUUUUUUUAAUUAUUUUUAUAACUAUUAAAUUUUAAAAUUAUUUAAAUAAAAUGAUAAUAUUAAGUACUAUUAAAAUAAAAUAAUAACUAAAGAAUUAAUUUUAUAAUAUAUUUUUAUUAAAAUAAAAAAUCUCAAAUAAAAAAUUUAUAUUAAAAAUUUAUCAAUAAUUAUAUAUUAGCAAUAAUUAUAUUAUGAAUUAAUUUAUUAGUAAAAUCAUAAAAAUUACAAAAUAAUAGUAAUUUUGUGAUAAUUUAUCUGUAAAUAAAUAACUAAUUUAAUUUAUAAUAAUCUCGUAAGAUACCAAAAAUUAUUGAUAUUCUUUCAAUAAUAAACGAAUUCAAACUAGUAAUAAAUUGGUGUGGUUUAUUCAAACUCAACACUAUUAUUGUAUGCAGACCAUCGAGUGUUAACAGAAGGAGCGGCCCAUGCCAACUCAAGGAAGGGACCCAAUAAUUUGACGUGGCGAGCGCGGGAUUCCAGAUCAAGCACAUGGUGCGCAACUAACACCUCUGGUGCAAGUUAGCCGCAAUCUAUUUGUCCUUUUUCACUUUCCCAAAAAGAAAGCAACUCGCUUUUACACCGUCCACCGAUUCAUAGAAUCGCCCUCUUGUAAAACAAUGAUAAAGUACAAAUCAAAUCGGCGAGUUCAAAUCGACGCUUCUAACCUCCCCGACUAUGACGAUGAAAAGGACGCCGGAGGACAAAAUAACGACAAUGGUGAAGAGAAGAGAUUAAGAUUGAGACCAUCGGGAAGCAACGUCAGCGAAGAUCAAGAACCGUUUAUGGGCGUUAAGGUUCGAAGAAAAGCCUCCCUUCAUAGAGAUAUUAAAGGAGAUUAUCUAGACGUCCCUUCUCAUUCGUAUUUGAUGAAAAUUUUGCAAAAACAAGGUUUGGAAUUCUAUUCUUUAGUUUCUUUUCUUUUCAAUGGAUAAUUGAUGCUGUGAUUAUUUGUUCUUUUUUCAUUGUGAAAUAUGAAAUGAUUGCAUUUAAUGAUGCAGGUGAUAGUCAAGUGCUGUUUGCAGAUAAAGUAUUGAAAUUCACAAGUUCAGGGAAGAUGAAACGGCGUAUAUUAUUGAUAACUGAUUUUGCGAUUUAUAUUGUUGACCCUGCGACUGAUGCACUUAAACGGCGAAUAGCAUUGGCCGCUGUUGAGAAGAUGCUAUUAAGUGAAUUAAGUGAUAACUUCUUUGCUGUGAUUGUUCCAACGGAGUAUGAUCUACUUUUGGCUAGUACUCGAAAGACCGAAAUUGUUACUGUCUUAAUUGAAGCUACCAAAACUGCAUCCAAUUAUGAACUUGAUGUGAUUUUCUCCAAUAGGUAAUUAUUUUACGUGCUUGAUAUACCUGUCGUGGCAUGGCAAUAUUUCGUAUGAGUUGCUGUCUGAUUGUGAGUCAGGCAUCUGCUACUGAUUUUGUAGCAUGUAUCUUUGGCCUAAUUGCUUUUGGUUCUAGACAUCGUUAUUAAAGUUUCUUCUCUGAAUUGGGAAUUGAUUAUGACCUUAUAUUGCAGCUUUGAGUAUCGUGCAUCUGCUGAAUUGGUAAAGGAAGUGCAAUUUGAGGAAGUUGAAGGUCUGUGAUGCUUAUGCUACUCAAUGUUUUAUGUUUGCUUCUAGGAUGAUGUUGCCAGUCGUUUCUUCUCCUAAAACCUUUCUCUGUGAUUUCAGGUGGUGUUAAAACAAGAAUUGCGAGGAAGUGAGUACAGCUUGUGAAUGCCUUAAUAUGUUUGUACACUUAUGAAGACACUAGAUCGUGAUGAUCCAUUGCAGAGCGAGGCACUACUCAGCAUCAAGGCCUAUCCCACUUUUGAUUUUUUCUUGUGUAAUUUCUUGUAGUUAGAAAAAAGAAAUGUUAAUCACAUUUUUUUUUUUUUUGCAAUACCAAACCAAUAACAUUUGAAUGCGUGAAAUGAGAUCAUUUGGAUGUUCAAGAGUAUAAGUUUUGUUUUGUGUGCUGAUUCUUUUGCAUCCUGCGCACAGCCAAUUGACGCUAUCUUUAUGUAUGCAUUAAUGAAAGGGUAGAGAAGGCAUUGUUACUGGCCUCCAGGAGUCUAACAAAUCUAGGCAGUGCUGUAAGAGUUGCAACUUUACAGGUUACAUAUCACUGCAAGUAACCUGAUCCACGGGUAUGGUCUCAUGAGGGUGUUUUGAGCUCAUCAAUUUGCUGAAAUUUUUAAGCGUUUAAUCUCUAUUACUUUGGACUUGAAAGCUCUGUGGAAGGAUAAAAGGGAGGUCACUGUUCAUGAAAGCUGAUAUCCAUUCAAGUCUAGCAAGCGAGGGCAGAAUUCAUGGUUUAAAACCAUUGAUUGGUUAGAUUUUGGCACACAUGCAUGAGCAAACAAGGCACAAACAGACGGAUACAGAGUUUGAUUUGUUGCAUUAUAUAGCAAAGCCACUAAACUCCACAUGCAUAACAAUAAUGUCCUGACUAAAUAAUACAGUAGCGAAUCACCCAACUCGUCUUUAGACUUGAGUUGGGUUAGGUAGUUAGGUAGCUAAAUUAAUUGUAGUACCAAAUUUGUUACAGGAAAAUAAAGACGCUCAACUAACUAAUACCUAUUGGACGAUUAAAUCAAUUGAAAAUAUGGAAAAAAAUGUUAUAACUAACAGAAAGACAAAAGAAUCUCACUCUGAAGUGGAGGUGGAGCUGUAGCAGAAGCAGAAGCUAUAUUUGCUGCCUACGGUGGUGUUUGGUUUGAUACUGCAGUUUCUAAGUUAGUUUCUGAGGAUGGUGGGUUUCCAGAACUCCCUUGUCUAACUUCCUCCACCAUCCUCACUACAUCAAGCAUUUUUGGUCUUUGCUCUGGCAUCCUCGUCACACAAUUCAUUCCUAUUUGUAACAUUUCUACCAUUUCCUCUUCAAUAUUCGGAUACCUUAGAAGCUCAACAUCAAAUACUUCAGCAGUCCAUUCCUCCCUUACAACAGAAUGCACCCACCUUACCAAGUGAACAACCUCAUCACCACCUGUUGCAUGUGUUGGAGAUUUUCCUGUCAGAAGUUCAAGCAGCAAGACCCCAAAACUAUAGACAUCAGACGCAUGAGUUGCUUUCCUCGUGUCCGUUACUUCUGGAGCCCGGUAACCUGCAGCCCUCAUCACUGGUGGGGGCAUUGAGCUCAUCAAUGUAGCCAAUCCAACAUCUGAUAUGCAACCAUACCCUUCGGAGUUCAGGAAAAUAUUCGAGGCUUUGAUGUUUCCAUGGACUAGUUUACCCCCAUUCUGUGUGUGGACAUAAGCAAUUCCCCUUGCUGCACCAAUUACAAUUUUUAGCCUCGUUUCCCAGUCUAGAGGAAUCCUGCCCUCCCCUCUUUUUCCUGCAAAAUUGAGAAGCAUUUUAUAUCAGUGAUGUUUCUGCAACUGCAACCUAAAUAAUGUCUUCAAGAAUUAACAAAUAGCAAAAAAUAAAACAGAAACGAAGCAACAUUAAUUGAACAACUUGAUUCCUGCAAGUGAGCAAACAAGGAAACGGGAAUGGCCAACCAGUAGUAAUAGAGAUAGAUUUUAAAUGGUAUUUAGCAUACCGUGCAGCAUAGCAGAUACGCUUCCCUGCUCAUAGUAAUCGCACACUGUAAGUUUUUCAUCUUUUGAAAAAUAGUAUGCCCUUAAUGCAGAUAUAUUUGGAUGCCUAAUACUUCCAAUCACUUCCAUCUGCUGCUCAAAAUCUUUUUUAACCACAGACAUUUCCUUCAACCUCUUCACUACCACUGUGUUUGCAUCCUCAAGAGCAGCCUUAUAAGUUGUCCCAAAAGUUCCCUUCCCGAGCACUUCGGCAGAUGCUCUCAACAAGUCCUCCAAGUCAAAUGCAAGGCUGCAACCCUCAAAGAACACGAGCCUAUUAUUCUUAUCUUGGCGUUCUGACGCCUUUUUCUUCAAAGCUCCCUCUUUCUUUUGGGACUUUGUGGGCAAUAUAUCCUCCCUGCCCUUCUUAGAAUAGCAGCAAAUCAUCAGAAGAGCAAUAACUGCAAAACCCAAUACACAGCCUCCUAGUACAAUCCCCAAUAUUGCAGAUUCACUUAAUUUUUUGGUUUUCCUUGAAGGUUGAGGACUUGGUGGUUCAAGUGGAAGAGCAGGAGGAAGGACAUUUUCUGAUGAAAGAUUGUUACCAGAAAAUGCCCACCUUGGAAAUCUUAGAAGAGACUGAGGCACCCUUCCGUUAAGAUCAUUGUUGGCUAAAUUUAAAGAUUGUAAACUAGGAUUACUUAUAUCAGGAAUAACACCUGAAAGUGAGUUAUUAGAAAGGUUUAAAGAUGUGAGGUGGGUCAAAUUUGAUAUUGAAGGUGGAAUGCUUCCAUUGAAGGCAUUAUUUGAGAGAUCAAGAACAGUGAGAUUCUUCCACAUUGAGAAAUCUGAAGGCAAUGAGCCUGAGAAGCUGUUAAAUUGAAGAUAAAGACCGGUCAAGUUUCCAAGUCUGACGAAAUCUGAAGGGAAUGAGCCUGAUAAACCAUUGGAUCUGAGGCUAAGUAUUUGAAUUGCCGAUAGGCGACCAAGAGUGUUUGGUGGAAUUUGGCCUUGGAUCCCCACUCCAGGCAACCUGAGGACUAUAAUUCUAGAAUGAUCUCUAUUACAGGUCACUCCUGUCCACUCAUUGCAUACAGAAGAGCUAUUACUCCAAUUGAGGGAGUGCGAGCGAUGAAUACCGUGAAGGAAAUCUAAUAAAGCUUGUUUAUCUUCAAUUGGUUCUGCAAUGGUGGACAAAGAAACUGCUCCAAAGAAGAGAAUUAUAGAGAAAAUGAACAAGGGGUUCAUUUUCAUACUUCUUUUCUUCUCAGACAGAGUGAAAAGGCAAACUGUAGAAGCAAAAUUGAAGCUGGAGGCCGAAGUAUCUAACACAAAUCCUGGUCACAUCUACAUGAAGUUGGGUAAAAGAUGGGUCAUAUGUAGGAACAGAAAAAGAAAAGAAAUUACUGUACAUGCUUGUAUGCUGAUUGGCAUUUGAAAUAGAUACGUUUCUGGUAAAAUUUCUUAAAAAAGAAUGAUUUCUAAAGACAUCGUUAGCCGCAAGUGGUCAAAAUUAGCAACUCAAACAUGAAUUGAAAACUUUUACUGUUAGUUAAUUGUUGACUUUUGCAGCACUCUUUCACCUAACUAUGAUGAUUGCUGAGUACAUGAAAAAAAAUAGAAAAAGACCCAAAAUUCCUAGUCCCAAUCUUAUUCAAGAAACAUUAUCAGAAAAGGAAAAGUAAAAACAACAAGAAUAAGCAGAUAACACCAAAGGUUCAUUUCUUUAGUUCCCUUUCGUUUUCUCAGAAACCAAAUAGAGAGAAAUAUUAUAAGAACAAAAGAAAGAAGAACCAGCACACAUAAAGAGAUAUACAUGAAAAGGAAUUUACUUAUCAAACAUAGUUUGCAAUUGCCUUGAGACUUGAAAAAGAUCCAUAAGCUUUGAUUCUGUUGCCAGUAUACCAAUGUUCACGAAUUCAGAUAUAUCCAACUAUCCAAGAAAAAGAAAAGAUCCUGACAGAUAAGCUAAAGAAGGAUAGAGAGGAGACAGAACGAAGUACAUUCUUGAACCUUGACAAAACAGAAAAACCAAAAAAAAAAAAAAAAGAACAGUUGAAGAAAAACAGAUCGUACCCGAUGACAAUGAUAAAAGAUGAUUAUUAAUGAUGAUUGAUAUGAGCUGUUAUUGCUUGAGAGAGCAGCAUCACAUGCACAAAAACGUAUUAGAUAAUCAUUGAGAAGCAAAGACUCAUGCAUUUUUUUUCCCUUUUAAUUUUCUUCUAAAGCGCGCAAGCAGGAGAGUGCAUGUGGAGACAAAGAGAGAAAGAAGUUAUUAAAAAACAGUGGCAAAUAAAAGAAGCCACAGCUACCAACUACUAAUACUGUUUCUGUAUCAUUUGUUUGUAGGUAUUCCAUAAUAAAGUGUAUAUUUAAAGUCUUAACACUACGUACGUACUGCGCUGUGGACCAUAGGGUCCCAUGAUCUCCUCUGAUUUCGCCAUGAAUGCUUCUUCUUUCCUAGAAGAAAAUCUGUUCUAAUUAUAUAUUAUUGAUGAUAUGUAAUGCUGACAAUAGGGAAAAUGGAAAUUAAAACUGAAAUAAUUAAAUGGGCGGUGGGAGUUGCAUCAUACUCCAUAAAACAUUAAUAGUUUCAUCGAAGGUUGAUGGAUUAUAAUAUUCAUGAUCCAACACAUUCUCUGUCUGCCAUUCAUUGGUCAUGAAUUAGAUGAAAAUUCAUUAUUCAGUUCACUUUAAUUAUAGAAUCUUUUAAAUUAUAAUACUCAUUUAAAUCAUCAUAAAUUCAAAGAAAUGGUAAUUAAAUUUGCCCUUCAAUUUAUUAAUCACGAUUUCAAUUAGAAGAUGAGUUUGGUGCAAAAAUCAAACACGACCCACUUCAGGUAUCCAUCUAACAUUUUACUCUCGUGUUAGGAGAAAAGGGCAUAUGGGCAUUUGCUCGUAGAACUUAGAAUUGGAGAUUUGAGUUAUUAUUGUUUUUCUAUUAAACAAGUCAUUCGUUGGUGUAAUUUUCAAACCAACAAGAACAAGAACAACUAGUGGCAGCCUUUGUAAUCGUUGGUAAACUGAGAGGACCACUCAUCAAUAGCGACGGUUACAUCGGUGACAUUACAGCAUUGAGCCCAUGAUGGGCACCACGUGCUACUUACUAUGAUCCAUUAGGGGGAAGAACAUACAUAUGCCUCACAUAUUUUUGUAAGUGGAAGGAAGGACAGUUGCAGGGAUGAAAUAUUUAUUGUCUUUUAUGUUUAUUGAAGGAAUGGAAAUUAUAUGGUCUAGGUAUGAUGUUUCUUCUUAUUUUAGACCUAGACUAUAUUAUUUUCAAUAUUCAAAUCUCUUUCACAUUUUCGUCCUCUUUAUCAAACACGGCACAAUGAAAGAACUUUCAUCUUCCCUUGUUUCCUGUCUUGAAAGGCUAAAGCAAUGGAAAGAUGCACUAAAUUCACUAAUAGCCCUUCUUGCUCCAUAAUAAAUAAUCUUACAUUUUCAAAUUUGAAUUUGUGGAUCAUAAUUAUUGAGGGUCAUUAUAUAAAUUGCUUUUAAUAGUUCUUUUAUAAUUUUUUGAGCAAUUUUUUUAACUUUUUAAGAGAUUUUAUAAUUUUUUUAUGCAAACUCUUUUAGGUGAGUAUGCUUUCUUAGUAAAAAAACUAUUGGACCUUUUAUUGAAUAUAAAUGAAAAAUUAAAAUUGAUAAUGUUAAGGAAAGUAAAGUCAACCAUUACAUCAAAUCAGGAUAUUCCUCCAAUUAGGACAAUCAACAGUUGUCAAAUCUGUAUUUAUUUGUUUCUAUUUGUAUGAGACUCUAAAUAGGAAUUAACCGUUUCUAUGCUUUGUUUUAGGAGCUAUUUUAGUCAUUGUAGUGUAUAUAUAUAUAUGUUCUCUUUUUGCUGUCAAUAAGAAAAGAAAAGCUUUUUCACUUAUUCUUUUCAUGGUAUCAGAGCGGCCACGCUCCUAAUCUCUUUUACAUAAAACAUGUUGCCCACCUUCCUUUAGCCAACAUCUAUGGCAGGGAAAGAUAACACUCAAAGCUCAGCCAAGCCUGAAGCUAGCAAAUUUGACAAUCCAACUGAUCCCUUCUACCUGCACCAUUCAGACCAACCUGGUCUUGUACUCGUUACACAAUUGUUGAAUGAAGAAAAUUACAGUACCUGGAGCCGUGCCAUGCUCAUGGCUCUUAGCAUAAAAAACAAAGAAGGUUUUGUCAACGGUACCAUCAAACAACCAUUGGAGAGCUCUCUUGAAGAAUACCAACAAUGGAAACGUUGCAAUAAUCUUGUAAGAGCAUAGAUUUUUAACUCAAUAUCACCAGAUAUUGGAGCAAGCACAAUAUACAUUAAUAGUGCCCAUGAGAUUUGGGCCGAUUUGGAAGAGCGUUAUUCAAACACCAACAGCAUUCAUCUUUUCCAUGUGGAAGAAGCCAUUCAUAAUUGCAAACAGGACAAUAUGACCAUUGGAGCUUAUUACACUAAGCUUAAAGGCCUUUGGGAUGAACGUGACGCAUUAUGCAACAUUUCAACCUGCACAUGCGUCACUAUGAAGGAAGUUUUACAAUUCCAACAAAAUCCAAAGACCAUGAAAUUUCUCAUGGGACUUAAUGAAGUCUACUCUGCUGUUCGAGGACAGAUUCUUCUCAUCGAUCCACUACCUACAGUCAACAAAACUUAUUCUUUAAUCCUUCAAGAUGAAAAGCAGCGAGGUAUAUCAAAAGGAGGCACACCUAUGGUUGAAGCUUCAGCUUUUGCUGUGAAGAAUAAUUCCAGAAAUUCGGAAAGAAAUUCCAAUGUCAAAAAUCCUCAUUUAAAAUGCGGAACUUGCAACAAAAUUGGUCACACCUCAGAGACAUGUCGAUCCCAUCUCAAAUGUGAUUAUUGUGGCUGGCAAGGUCACACCAUUGAUGUUUGUAGAAAGUUACAAAAGAACUCCACAGGUAAUAAACGUGAUCAAUGAGAACACAAGAAUGUUCCCUGUAAAGUCAACCAUGCAAACACAGCCACACCUGUAGCCAGUAAUCGAUAUACUCUCACUGCUGAACAGUACCAGAGUCUGAUAACAUUACUUAAUGAAAAUAAGUCAAAUUUCAUGGCCAAUCAUGUUGGUAGCACAUCAACCAUGAGUGAUGUUUCAGGUACAAUAUUUUGUGCAUCAGUUAUUGACAAAGGAAUGUGUUGGAUACUUGACACAGGAGCCACAGAUCACAUGGUAUGCUCAACUGAUAUGUUAACCACCAAUCAUCGUGUGAUCAAUCGAACCGUGUCUCUACCAAAUGGAGCCAUCGCUGCUGUAACACACAUAAGCAGCAUUCAUUUUGUCAAUUUUGUUUUACAUGAUGUGCUAUGUGUCCCCUCCUUUAAACUAAAUCUGAUUUCAAUUAGCAAACUCCUUUAUAAAUCCAAUUACGUUGCUGCAUUCACUGAUCAUACUUGUUUGCUACAGGACCAAUGAUCGGGGAAGAUGAUUGGGAUGGGAACUGAGCGAGGAGGACUUUACUACCUUGAUACUUCACAAAGAACCAGCUGUAAUGCAGCCAUUGCACCUGUCCCUUCUUCUCCAAAACUUUGGCAUCAACGUCUUGGUCACCUAUCCAAUAAGAUUUUCCAUUUACUCUCUCAUUCAGUUAUGAACAUUCAAUAUUGUGAUAUUUCUGAUUGUUUAAUUUGCCCAUUAGCUAAACAGACUCGUUGUUCAUUUCCAUUAAGCUCUAUUCGCACUAAAGCACCUUUUGAAUUAAUACAUGUUGAUAUUUGGGGAGGAUAUCAUGUUCCUUCUAUCACAAGGGCACAAUAUUUUCUUACGAUUAUCGAUGAUUAUACCCGUUGCACAUGGACUUAUUUGAUGUCUCAUAAAUCAGAUGCACAAACAUAUAUUACUGCAUUCAUUAACCUUGUUGAAACACAAUUUUCCUUGAAAAUCAAAAUUCUUCGCAGUGAUAAUGGACCUGAAUUCACUUUGAAAAAUCUAUACUUGGACAAAGGUAUCAUUCAUCAAACUAGUUGUGUUUCCACUCCUCAGCAAAAUAGAGUAGCCGAAAGAAAACAUCAGCAUCUUCUCAAUGUAGCCCGUUGAGAGCUACAUACCUCAUCAACCGCAUACCCACACCUCUUCUUCAAGGGAAAUCACCUUUUGAAGUACUCUUUCGUAAACAGCCUACAUAUGACCAUCUACGUGUGUUUGGGUGCCUGUGCUUUGUCUCAACUCAUCACCAUCGUCCUACAAAGUUUGAUGCUAGAGCCAUACAAUGUAUUUUCUUGGGUUAUCCAUACAAUCAAAAAGGGUACAGGGUUUAUGAUCUCUUAACAGGUAAAAUUUUCACUUCACGUGAUAUCAUUUUCUUUGAAGAAAUUUUCCCUUUUUUAUCUUCCGCUGCAAGUUCACCUCUUAUUCCUCACCCUUCACCAAUAUAUGAUUAUGAUAGUCCCACUCUAGAAAUAUUCUCACCCGACAGCCCCUCUCAAGGAGAUAAUUCACUUGCCAACUCAGAAACCACUCUUCAAAACAACCCUUCAGCCACAACUUCUUCUCCAUUAAUUGAUCAAUCUACUUCACUGUUGCCUUUAAUUCCACAAACCACUCCACCACGAUUAACUCGUAUUACAAAACCACCCAAACACCUCAAUGAGUAUCAAGUUGGUAUUUCUCUUCCUUCACGGAACAUCUCGGCGUCUAACUCGGCUUUGGUUACUGCAGCAGGUAUCACCUAUCCUUUAUCUACUUUCCUUUCAUAUGAUAGAUUAUCUUCCAAACACAAGGCUUUCACCACUUCUCUUUCAGUUGAAAAGGAACCAUCCUCAUUUGCAGAAGCAGUUUGUGAUCCAAAAUGGCGUCUUGCUAUGCAGCAAGAACUUGAUGCACUCAAAGAAAAUGGUACAUGGUCAUUGCAAUCAUUGCCUCCCGACAAGCAGCCGAUUGGGUGCAAAUGGGUAUAUAAGAUCAAAUUUCGAUCUGAUGGUACAGUGAAACGCUAUAAAGCCCGGUUGGUCGCAAAAGGCUACAAUCAAGUUGAAGGACUCGACUACCAAGAGACUUUCGCUUCUGUUGCAAAACUUGUUACAGUUUGCCUUCUUCUUGCCGUGGCUUCAACUCAAAAAUGGCACCUUCACCAACUUGAUGUUAACAACGCAUUCUUACAUGGAGAUCUUGAUGAAGAUGUUUACAUGUCCUUACCACCUGGUUUCGGACGAAAGGGGGAGACACGAGUUUGCAAACUCCACAAGUCUUUAUACGGCCUCAAACAAGCUUCACGGUAGUGGUUCAUUAAACUUUCUAAUGCCCUCAAGAAAGCCAACUUCAAACAAUCCAAGGCUGACUAUUCUUUGUUCAUCCGAUCCCAGCAUGGUAAAUUUACUUGUCUCCUUAUUUACGUAGAUGAUGUUAUCCUAACAGGAAACAAUCUACAAGAUAUCGAAGACACCAAAUCAUUUUUUAAGAAUCAGUUCAAACUGAAAGAUCUAGGAGAAUUAAAGUAUUUCCUAGGUAUAGAGGUUGCGCGAUCCAACAAAGGUAUUGCUCUUUCACAACGAAAGUAUGCUCUCGAAAUUCUUGAAGAUGUAGGAUAUCUUGGUGCAAAACCAGCUUCUUCCCCUAUGGAACAGAACCUAUCACUUAGUAAUUUUGAAGGAGAAUAUAUUGAUAAUCCAUCUUCAUAUCAGAGGCUUGUUGGUCGGUUGAUUUAUUUGACUAUAACAAGACCAGACUUGGCAUAUGCAAUCCAUGUUUUAAGUCAAUUUAUGGACAAACCAAGAGUGCCACAUUUAGAAGCAGCUUACCGCGUUUUACGGUAUGUGAAACAAACACCUGGACAAGGAAUAUUUUUUCCUGUAGAAAAUUUAAUUCAGUUAAAUGCUUUCUGUGAUGCGGAUUGGGCUAGAUGUCGUGACACACGACGAUCAGUUACUGGAUAUUGCAUAUUUCUUGGGAGCUCACUAGUUUCUUGGAAGACCAAAAAGCAAACGACUAUAUCACGGUCAAGUGCAGAAGCUGAAUACCGAUCCAUGGCUGCAACUUGUUGUGAGAUCACAUGGCUGAAAGGUAUUUUACAAGACUUGGGUAUUAAGCAUUCACAACCUGUCAAUUUAUUUUGUGAUAGUCAAGCGACACUACAUAUUGCUUCAAAUCCAGUUUAUCAUGAACGUACAAAGCAUAUAGAAAUAGAUUGUCAUCUUGUGCGAGAGAAAGUUCAAGAAAGGAUGAUCAAGAUGACUCAUGUGAACACAUUAAGUCAGCCAGCAGACAUUUUCACAAAACCUUUGAGUUUCUUGCAAUUCUCGACUCUACUGAGCAAGUUAGGAAUAAUCAAUAUUCAUUCCAAACUUGAGGGGGAGUGUUAAGGAAAGUAAAGUCAACCAUUACAUCAAAUCAGGAUAUUCAUCUAAUUAGGACAAUCAACAGUUGUCAAAUCUGUAUUUAUUUGUUUCUAUUUGUAUGGGACUCUAAAUAGGAAUUAACCGUUUCUAUGCUUUGUUUUAGGAGCUAUUUUAGUCAUUGUAGUGUAUAUAUAUAUGUUCUCUUUUUGCUGUCAAUAAGAAAAAAAAAGCUUUUUCACUUAUUCUUUUCAGAUAAUUAUAAUUCUUUUAUUUUAAUUAAUUUUGUUUAAAUAUUCAACUGGUAGCCUAACUUGAAGCCUGAGAUCCCUUGAAAAUAUUAUAUAUUUACUUAUAUGAAAAAUAAAAUAAGAUAAUGCACAUAAAUAAAUAGAGUGGCAUACGUAAAUUGACAAGACUGCAAAUAUGAUUGUGGAAACUAAUUAUUAUCCCAAUAAUAAUGCCAAGUUAGGCAGAUUAACUAAGUAUUAGUCAGCCCCCUCCGUUUUUAGUUUGAUGCAUUAGCUGUUGAUCUUUGCCAGUAAUGAAAAGUUCCUCAUUUGAUUUUUAUAAAGAAAUAAGUCUUUUCUUUGCCUGAAUUCAAAAAAAAAUAUAUGGCAAAGUUAUCAACAAAUCAGAGUGGCGCAGCGGAAGCGUGGUGGGCCCAUAACCCACAGGUCCCUGGAUCGAAACCAGGCUCUGAUAAUAGUAGAGUGGCUUCCUAGCGCAUGUUUUUAGUUUUUAUCCAGCUUCAAAACGACAUCGUGCUCUGCGGUCCUUUGACCCUUAGCUAACGUGUUCAUGUAUGACUGGUCUAUAGAUUUGCGAUAUAUCGCCAAAAGAAAAGAAACAUAAUAAACCAAAAUGAAACAUAAAUAAAGAAUCUGAAACGAGAAAUGAAAGAACGACACAGAACAGGAUAGAUAGCAGAGAAAUCAAAACCCUAACCUAUCCUAACCUAACAGCUUCAAAAUAUCGCGAUAAAUAAGAAAAAAGAAACAAAAGAAAAGAAACUCCAAAAUUUACAAUCUCCGAUUAUCUCUCCGUCGAGAAGACCCAAAGCCUCUCUCUCUGUAAGUUCCAUAAAUUUCUCGUUAUUUCUCUUCUUUUUGUUUCUUAUUAUUCUCCGCACCUUUUUCUUUUUUAUUCAAAAAAUACUAAUAUCCAUAGCCAAAAAUUAACAAGCACUGUUUAUUCUCUGCUUGCUUACUGAGAAAAUGAAGGAAAAUUUCGAACUGUACAAGUGUUUUUUUUUUUUUUUUCUUUUCUUUUAGAGUAAGAAAACAGUAGAAUCUUCGGCUUAUCCCAAGCUAAUGUGAACGCUUGCACUUGGAAAUGUGACUCAGAAUUGGAUCCCUAAUUAUAUAUUAACUUUUAAUUAAGUGAUUGUUGUAAAGGUUAAUGAAUGUUAACAUGUGAUUAUCAAAAGAGUGGAUUGAUAACCUCUAAUCACAGUGAGAUCCAAUAAUAACAAAUAAAGAUACACAGUAAAAUCAUAGUCGAUUGCUGAAAUAUAUCCUUUCUUAUUUGUAAAAUAAUUUGAGAUUUAAUGGAAACUUGUUCUAAACUUUGUACCACUAAAUUUUUCUCUUCCACAGCCAAUCCAAAUAAGCACAUAGUUCUUCAACUUCUUACAAAUUUCUUUGUUUUUAUCCAUUGUACAGGUCAAAGUGCAGGGCCAGAAAACAUUACAUAAUCAGUAAGUUCAAGCUUGUUAUUAUGUUGUGAUUGCUGUUUGAUUGUUUUCUUGUCUUUCUUUCUUUGUUAUGAGAUCAUAAUUUAAAGUGGCUAUGUACAAGAUUAUUUUAUACAAGUUUAUUGUUCUUGUUGAUCAUUUAAAUGAUUCUUCAUACUAAUGUCUGCAGUUGAUUGCUCAAGCCUCACCGUUGUUUAAUGUUUGUGCAUAUUAACUUGACUUCCUCCUUUUUUGACGAACUCAAACAUUCAAGUUUUGUUUUUCUCUAUAUAUGAGAAUUAGGAUAGGUGUAUUGACUCUGAAUGUGGGACUAGAAAUAGAUUUAAACAAGGUAACUCUUACCAUGUAUCUAUGCUAAUUGAUGUUUUUCUACUGUCAGUGGUUCGAGAGAAAGAUGUUUGUUGGGAGUAUGCUGAGAAAUUAGAUGGAAACAAGGUGAAGUGCAAAUUUUGCCUGAGAGUUUUGAAUGGUGGCAUUAGUAGACUGAAGCAUCAUCUAUCUCGACUACCAAGUAAAGGUGUAAAUCCUUGUAGCAAGGUGAGAGAUGAUGUCACUGACAGGGUGAGGGCCAUAAUAGCAUCCAAGGAGGACAUAAAAGAACCUUCUAGUGCUAAAAAGCAGAGGCCUGCAGAAGCCAAAUCUCCUGCACAUAUAUAUGCAACUAAAGCUCUUGUGAAUGUGGAGUCAGUAGCUCCAGCUGCUAAAGUUUAUCCUACUGUCACAUCAAUUUCCCCCCCUUCUUUAAGUAACCAAGAAAAUGCUGAAAGAAGCAUUGCGCUGUUCUUUUUUGAGAAUAAGCUGGACUUUAGUGUUGCACGUUCUCCAUCCUAUCAGCUAAUGAUUGAGGCAAUAGAAAAAUGCGGUCCAGGAUUUACAGGUCCUUCAGCAGAAAUCUUGAAGACCACCUGGUUAGAAAGGAUAAAAUCUGAAGUGAGCUUGCAAUUAAAAGAUACUGAGAAAGAGUGGACUACCACAGGUUGUACUAUCAUUGCUGACACAUGGACUGACAACAAAUCUAGAGCUUUAAUUAACUUUUUUGUUUCCUCACCCUCCAGGACUUUCUUCCACAAGUCUGUAGAUGCAUCAUCAUACUUUAAGAAUACCAAGUGCCUCGCUGAUCUAUUUGAUUCUGUUAUUCAAGACUUUGGUGCUGAAAAUGUUGUGCAGAUAAUUAUGGACAGUAGUUUCAACUAUACUGGUGUAGCUAACCAUAUUCUGCAAAACUAUGGAACCAUUUUUGUGUCUCCUUGUGCUUCUCAAUGUCUGAAUUUAAUAUUGGAAGAUUUCUCCAAGGUAGAUUGGGUGAAUAGAUGUAUCUCACAAGCACAAACACUGUCAAAGUUUAUAUACAAUAAUUCCUCAAUGCUUGAUCUGAUGAAGAAAUUUACUGGAGGGCAGGAACUAAUCAAGACUGGUAUUACAAAGUCUGUAUCCAGUUUCCUCUCACUGCAAUCAAUGUUGAAGCAAAGACCAAGACUGAAGCUAAUGUUUAGCAGCAACGAGUAUUCUGCAAACUCAUCAUAUUCAAGUAAACCACAAAGCAUAGCUUGCAUUACCAUUGUUGAGGAUGGAGAUUUCUGGAGGGCAGUGGAAGAAUGUGUAGCCAUCACUGAGCCUUUUCUAAAAGUACUGAGGGAAGUAUCUGGAGGUAAACCUGCCGUCGGGUCUAUAUAUGAGUUAAUGACCAGGGCCAAAGAAUCAAUAAGGACUUACUACAUAAUGGAUGAGAGUAAAUGCAAGACUUUUUUAGAUAUAGUAGACAGGAAGUGGCGAGAUCAACUCCAUUCACCUCUUCAUUCAGCCGCUGCUUUUUUAAACCCAUGUGUUCAGUAUAAUCCUGAAAUUAAAUUCCUUGUAAAUAUUAAAGAGGAUUUUUUCAAAGUUAUCGAGAAAUUACUUCCUACUCCUGAUAUGAGACGUGACAUCACCAAUCAAAUAUUCAUUUUUACAAGGGCAAGUGGGAUGUUUGGUUGCAAUUUAGCAAUGGAAGCACGAGACACAGUUGCACCUGGUAUGUGGUUCUGUAUACAAUGUCUUUUCGCUGUGUGUAUAUGCAGAGUGUGCUUGUACAUAGAAUUAAUUUUGCAGCAUAUCGUAAGGACACACUAAUUUGAGAUGGAUUUCUUGUCAUAUGUUUCACAUUGAUGUAGCUUGCAACGAUACACAGACCCUUGUAUGUCUGAAAGGCCACUUUCCAUAUUUUUGUGCUAUGCCUAUUUGGAAGCACUUCUGCAACAAUCUUUCUGUCAUAAAUUAAAGUUGCUCGAGAUGAAUCAAGUUCUCAAGAAUUUCGAUAGUAAUUAGUGUUUUUUUGUUCUUAAUUGAGUAUAUCUGCAACUUUUGGACUUGGAAUUUACAUCCUGGUUUUACAAAUUUCAUAAAACAUCUAGUUAUUUGGUGUUGUCUCAAAUUGUUUUGGACUUUGAAUUUACAUUCUGGAGGUGUUUAAUUGUUGCCUUAAUUAUGCUUUGAGAUUUGUUUUUUGAUAAAUGGGCUGAAAACUAUUAUUUCAAGUUAUCUUUUUCUUUUGGUCUUUUCCUCUUCCCCUCAAGAGAAAAAUGAUAGGGUGAAUUCAAGUUUGUUACUAUCAUUUUAUGCUGGAGUUGGAAUUCUUGUAUAGUGGUUCUGAAAAUAUGCUGCUGACUUACUGUAGGGCUUUGGUGGGAACAAUAUGGCGACUCUGCGCCAGUGUUGCAACGAGUUGCCAUCAGAAUUCUGAGUCAAGUUUGCAGCACUUUUACUUUCGAAAGACACUGGAACACAUUCCGUCAAAUUCACUCUGAAAAGCGCAAUAAGAUUGAUAAGGAAACCUUGAAUGACCUUGUGUACAUAAAUUACAAUCUCAAGUUGAUGAGGCAGAUGAGAACAAAAUCUUCAGAAACUGAUCCUAUCCAAUUUGAUGAUAUCGAUAUGACCUCAGAAUGGGUAGAGGAGACUGAUAACCCAAGCCCAACCCAGUGGCUGGAUCGAUUUGGUUCUGCUCUGGAUGGGAGUGAUUUGAAUACACGGCAGUUCAAUGCUGCCAUAUUUGGGGCAAGCGACCCCUUAUUUGGUUUAUGAUCUUGUGAAGUCCAUGCCCAAGUGUCUGCGCUAGUUUUCGCAGAAAGCCUAGUAAGUUUUCUUAGAACGUCAGCUUUCUGCCUUGUAAGUUUCUGUAGAAUGUAAGUUUUUUUAUUUUAGUAGCCUACCUCUCUCGCUUAAUUUGUAAUAGAUGAAUAAAUUGUUCCUGAUUUUUAUAGCAUACUAAUUAAACGUAGAAGCAGCUUGAACAUGUUUUUGUCUUGAUUUUCCACACAUAAACCAUGGUCACUAUCAUCAACUGUGCUUCUCCUUUUUCCCUGGUGCCUCCGCAUUUGUGCGCCAUGCAACGCAUUAUAUUCUGGAAGAGUAGAAUUUUUAAGCUUUAUGGCAAGCAUAAAUGCCAUUUCUUUUUAUCAAAAGUGCUGUGUAAUUUUUUUUUUUUUACAGUAUUAAAAUAUUAAAAAUACAGUUUUUUAUUAUUUUUUUUAAAAUAUGAUUUUAGUUUUUCUUAAAUUUGUUUUGAUAAAACAAUUAAAAAAUAAUUACACUGUACUUUUUUUCAAAAAAAUGUUAAAAACAAUAUUUUUUUCAAAAAAUUUAUACCGUAAAAAUUAAUAUUUUUUUUGUUAAUUUUAGGGUAUUUAAAAAUCCCUUGUUUAUUCAUCCGCUUUUCCAGACCUCCUCUCUUUUCUGUUAAGUUUAGGACCAAGGCCAAUUUGGCCCCUGAACUUGGCAGGAAAAAAUGUGAUUAGGCCUAAAAUUUACUUUGCUGUUAAUUUGAUCCAUAAACUUGUAGUCUACUAUCAAUUAACCCAAUUAAUCAAUCUAAUAAAUCCAAAAAGAUAACAAACUUUCUUUGCAUUUAUUAAGGUAAAUACUAUUUUCACAGUAUAUAAUUAGUUAGGGUACUAACUUUUUUAUGUAAAUUAUUUGUUGUGUAAAAAAAAGAAUUGUGGCCUUAAUAUUUUAUAUUAUGCUAAAUAGGCCUGCCCUCUGUCAACAGUAUAAAUUUGUAAGAUCAAUUUUUCUUUCCUUUAAAAUGGAAUAUAUAAAAAUGUUUAUAAUUUCUUUUCGGUUGUAAUUAUCAUAAAUUUACGAGGUCACUAGCUGAAUUAACCAACCGCAAAGUUAAAUUUCGGGCCUAAUUGUUCAUAGUUAACAAAUUAAGGUGCCCAACCAAGUGAGCGAUAGGGAUAGUAUAAAACCAUAAAACAAACAGAAGAUAUCUCAAUCCCAAACGCGUUCUUCCUUCGCUUGCCUUGCCCGGUUUCUUUUUCUUGGCUAAUUGCUUUAAUCACAGUAAAAUAUUCAAUGGACUACGAUUUCAGGAACAGAACAACAGGGUCAUCGUACGAUUCACAAACCCCUAUGUACAGAACAACCUCAUCAUCGACUCCGUCGGGCCACCCUAUGUACGGACAGUCUCUCUAUCCGAGAAUCGGUCAACAACAAGGCCACACUCCGGUGCCUCCUGUAGGCCGUCACUCAUCUUAUCACCAAUCCUCUGCUCCUCCGCCCUCUUCUUGUGAGUAUCGAUCCAAACUGUUCCUCUUAUUUUCUCCGCUCAAUAAACGCUGUCAUUUUCUUUUCUUAAUGAUUUUAAGCAACUGAUGUUCAGAGGUCGCCUCUAAAACGUGAUGAUUUGCAUAAUGUUUGCAGCAGGAUUAGGUAUUCGAGUUUCUGUGAAGCCAGAAUACCGGAUCACUCCUCCGGUAUGAUUCGAUAUGAUUGUUUUUGUUGUUGAAUUUUCAAUUUCAAACAAUUUGCUGUUAAUAUUAUUGAUUAUCUUUUAGCUUUUUGAGCUUACUUGCUAUGCAAUUAUACCUCCUUUAUGUUUACUUGAUUCUCUUUAUUGUUUUGUGGCAAUCUCAAUAAUAAGAUUUUCCUAGUUGAUUUUUGUUGCCUUUGAUUGCUCGUGUUAUAUAGCCUCAAUUGGCACCACAAAUGGGAGAUAUUCCACGAAGCAACUUUCAGUUUCAUUUCGAUCUUGAGAGAAGAAUUUUAGCCGAAGCAGAGAAGGAUAUUCAGAAUUGGAGCAAGCUUGGCUUGGAAAAUCUUCCAUCUAAAACGACUGAAUCAACUUCUUCAUUGGUAUGUAAUAUCUCUGGACUUGUUUAUUUUCUGUAUACUAGUAGCAUAGGCAUUCAGUGCUUAGACUGCCCAUGUUAGUUGGGGAUGACACGUAGACCUAUAAUUCCAGAGCUUCUUGCUCGUUUUAUUUUUUUUUAAAUUUUGCAAUACUUCGCUGUCAUGAUUUGAUAUUGUUAGUUCGUAACUGUAUCUUCCCACGGUUGAGUUAUGAAAUUAACAUUGUUGCUAUUGCAGGGUUCAGCUGCAGAUCCUGUUGUGAGCAAAUACAUCGCUUCAGGACUCAAUCGAGAAGCCGUUCCUCUUGCAGUUGCAAACUAUGGAGACAAUCCUACCAAGGUACUUUCUUUCAGUUUUUGUGCUUCUUAUCUUUCAUUUUGAAGUUGAGGUAGUGGGGACCUCAUGAUUGAGUUGAGCUCAGUUGAUUGGGGAGUGUAUAGUUGCUUUGUUAUCAUUACCUAAUAAUAUCUUCUGAACAAAAAUCCGAAAUCAUGUACUUCUGCUUAUUUUUGAGUUGCAAUAUCUGUAUUAUAAGUCAAGUAAAUUUAUUUAGGAUUGCGGUGAAUAUCAUUGUGUUUCUGCCUGCUAGGAUCCUUUGAAUUACUAUGUUUUAUUUUUGAGCUUUGCAAUUAUAUGUAGAAUUCAGUUGAAAAUGGAAUAGGGCUGAAUGUCCAAUGUUUUGAACUACAGAUGUUGAUUGAUCAUCAUAUCAUUCGGACUUACUGAAUACACAUGUAUGGAAAAAUCCAUUCAAGAAUCUUUCCAACUUUUUGAAUUUUUGCCAUCGAGCCAUCAAAUAGAGGCUGUUUUCUCAAAUUGGAUGUUGAUUAGUACAAAAAUGAGAAUUCUAGGGGCCAUGUAAUGAGUUUCUCCAUGUAUAUAGGCAUCCAAUGAGAGAUAAUUGUAACUUGUAAGCCUGCUUAUUUUUUACUAAUUGUUGGUGAUGAGUAGUUCUCUGACUGAUGAGGGCUUCUUAUGUUCUUUAGGUUCGAGAAUUUGUCAAUGGCUUCUCUCUUCUAAGAGAAAUGGGAUUUUCGGCCAACAACGUAGCUGAAGCUUUACUAAUGUAUGACAAUGACACAGACAAGGCGUUGACUCAUUUCCUUAACAGCUCAUCCUGAACAUUCCAGAAAUAGAUGGCUAUAUGUGAUACUGGCAAAGUGAUGGCAUACAAUGGUUACAUUUUUGCUAUGUGUGCAAGGAUCUGUUAUUGUAUAAACAAAAUCAACCAACUCUUCUUUACAUUUAGUUAUAAUAUAUAUAAUUUGUAAGAUUUUUGUGCUUUCUAAAAAAAAAAAAACCUUUAUAAAAUCAUGCAUUUAUGAUUUAUAUUUUGGAGAUUUUAUGGGUAUUUUUCAGACUCUGUUUUCUGUAUCAAACUUGAGGUUGAAUUGAGCUGAGCUGUGCUUCGCAGGUUUAUACACUGCUGAUUCAUUGAAUGGCAUGAUGUUGUGAGAUCCUUUUUUCAUAUCAUCAUAGACAUUAUCCGCCUUGUUUUGCCUGAUUAUUUUUAAAAAAAUGUUGUAUACCAUGUGUUAAUGAAGUAUACUUUUAUAGUGUCUAAUUACUUGUAGUUUUGUUAUGUUAAAUGCUAGUUAUUCUAAUCGAGCUUUCCUGUCCCUAACAAGGACAUUUUAGAAUUAGAUCAUCACCUCAAAUGGGGAAGCAGAAAAGAAAGCAUUUGGCGAUCUUGGUUCGUUUUUGUAUCUCUGCCAAGUCGCUUUAAGUCGAUAACACUUCAUAGGUAAUAUGCUACACUCUGGUAAAUUAUAUGCAACAGGUAGAAACCACAAUGAGGGGCACAAUUCACUCAAAAAACACAUUCUCAUUUGUUCGCACAAAUGAAAAAUUACCUAACACUUACAUCCGAUUGUAGCACAAAAACAGAAUCUAGUUAUGGUGGGUUAUUGUAUACUGAUAAAGAUGCUUCCGAUUUGUAUGGAUUCUCAAAUCUCCCUAUCUGUGGUGUAACCAAAUAUAACCAAUUGAAUUCUGAAUGGGCAAAGUAACUAUUGAUCCCCUGAUGAGAUUCAUGUACAAAAAUACUCUUAACCUUUUAUGAAUAAAGGUGUAACUCGGACAAUCUGUCAACCUAUGCUAUAUUUGCUUCUUCAAAUAUUAAAGCAAAUCAAAAUUACACACCAGCACAAAUAGCACCUGAAAGGCAAGGAGAAAAAGGAAAUGUUCAACUCCCCAAGUAAAAAAUUAGUUCAAAUACCCCCAUAGGAAAAUUUUAACAAAUUGCAUUAGCUAUCCUGAAAUCCAGCCACCUUUGAAAGAGAGGUGGUCUGACCUCAUAAAGGCCAUAUUGUAUGUAAUGCUGGAUUUGUGUGGGCUAGCUGUGUUUGUCUAUGUGUAUGUGCACAAGAGAGAGAGAGAGAGAGAGAGAGACAGACCUGAUGACCAAGAUGAGCAGCAGAACUUCCCUUCAUCUACAUGUUUGACAUCAAGCCCAAUAAACCAGGAUCCAGCACUGACAUCAUCGUGUGCACAAGUGUGGAGAAUAUCUCUGCAAACCCGAUAAAACAAUACUCAGAACUCCAAACACGUCAUAGAUUACUCAAGUUAUACAGGAGAAAAGAAUCUUUACCUGUUUAUUGAUACAAAUUUAGCUAAAGCUCGCGAUAUGACAUACAUUUCACCUGAAGCAUGGCGAAGAUACCUGAUGAAUGCAGGAAAAUAUUCAGCUCAGACUGUUAGAACAUAAACCUUAAGGAGACCUAAGGAGCAUAUAUUGUCAGUAGAUGCUAUUGCUCUGGUACAAGUAAUUUGCACUUAUCAAAUACAUAUCACAUAAUUAAAAUCAAGUAUAGAAAACCAAUUUUAAAUUUGUGAAAGAAGAACCUACGAUUUCUUGUCACCGAACUUCCACCAAUCUGGUUCAUACCAUUUAUGGCUCCUGCCAAAUUCCACCAGAUAAGUAUAGGAAACAUACAGUAGAAUAAACCUUUUCUUUCAAUAAAUUUGUUUUUUUGUAAUUUUUAUGGGAGAAACUCACGGUUCAGAGAAAACUUCUCCUGAUUUCAUACAACCAAUAUAAACACGAGGUUUGUCCAACUGGGUUGCUAAUGUAGUUCCAAGGGCAUCUGCAAAUAAACAAUAAUAACAGAAGAAAUGUAUAAUGAUAUGGAAAAAUCCACAUGAAGGUAAAAAAAGCUUCCCUAAAAUAUAAUUGAUCUUCUGCUAAUCAGAAGCUUAAAUUGAAUUAUCGUAAUAUCUUCAAAAGAAUUGAACUUAGCAAGCUUACUAGGCACACCAAAUGCCCAAACUCGGGAAGAACGUAACUUUUUUAUAUCAAAUAUGAUACUAACCAAUAUUAACAUAUAUAUUGUCAUUGACUUUGGCGUAGAACUCAGCGUCCCAUUUAUCCACAGCAUGAGCAAAGAAUAAUUUAGCCUUCUUUGGAAACUCCUCAGUUGCCUCCACAUGGUUGUCCUGUGAACAAAAAGGGCUUUAAUGGGAGAUGAUUGAAUUUAUAAAUAAAAGCAUAACAGUAGUGUUUUCCAAAAUCAAGCUUCCUUCAGAACCAUGUAGCAGGACUUCAAUGCCCUAGUGCCAUUAUUUCAGCAUUAUUAGGAGUUCUAAAGAAAAAAGAAUAAAAAAACACUAAGGUUAUGGAAAUUUUUCUGAAACCGUUAAUGAUUCAUAGACAUACCAGAAUGAUGAAGUCAUUAGUCUGUCUAUUUUCAUCAUCAAUUGCCUUGUCCAAACUAUCUCCCCAAUUUGCACUGCAAUACAAAUGACCAACCACCAUAACGUAUUGAGUAUAGAACAAAGAAGGAUAUUAACUAGAUGCAUAUAUCACAAUAACAAUAAGAACAAAUCAAAUGCACACGCAUGCUUAGAUACCUUCUUCCAAUAACGAAACGUGCAACUAUGCCCUUCUCAUUCGCCAUUUUCAUCAAUGUUGCGCCUGAAAGGAUGAAGGAUCGUCAAUGAAUCUCCAAGAAAAUAUAAACAUCCAAGAAAGUCUAUAUGACUUGUUCUUACAGGCACCGCUACUAGCUGCUUGAGAGUUAAUUUUGGGUACUGAUUACCGACUAGUCAAACUCUCAGUUUGCCGUCAUAUUGUCUCCUAGGAAUCUACUUUACAUAUGUGUCUCUAAUCAUUAUACUAACAAAUUGACAACUUUUUCUUUGCUACUAGAAUCUUUCCAAGAUUAUGCACUUAUAUCAACUCCAACUUAUCAUUCUACACAUUUCAGUAGAUAAAAAAAUGUGCACGUGGGAGAUUGGCUGAUGAGUUUUGUACUUCAGCCUAAAACAAUAAAAGAGAAAAGGAAAAGAAAAAAUCACAGAACCAAGAAACGAAACAAUGAGGUCAUAGAAAUGUGGUUUACCCUACCUGUUCCCAUCCAUGCUUUACGGAUUGCAUUCCUAUUGUUCUUUCUGCCAAACGUUGUAAGUAUUCCUAUCACCACUAAACGCCUUUUGUUUGAAUUAUUUCCAUCUUUCUCUGUUAGGAAGUUUGAAGUAAAACCCUCCUGUUUUGCUGCAGCCAAUUCCAACUCAAGAGCUGAUAACUUCUUUUGUUGCUCCCUAAAAAGAUACCACCGGCCCAUCAAGAAAUGAUAAAGCAAGUAUGAAUUGUUAAAUUAUGUUCGAAUUGAUAACCACAUUACCUGCAAGCUAUUAUCUUCAAUGUAUCAUCCACUGAUAUGGCAGAUUGUCCCUAAAACAAAAAACCAGUAGUUCACUCAAACCAUUUUUCUGAUAAUCGUCCAGCCAUAAAAAACAUGAUGUACAGGCAAACCAGCUUGUGUAAUUUUACAUCAUAUCCAGAAUUAGUUAGCUUACAUCACAAGGGAGCAUGAUAUUUUACUAUAGUUUAUUUCCAAUUAACUUCAAUUGACAAAAUAUCUAUGAUUCGAUUGAAAUUCAAAUUUAAAAUUCAAAAGAACGCAGCUGCAAAUAAUAACAAAAGAUUGAGCACUUACAUGCCCAGUUAUCCUGUCAAGCUCUUUAAUCAAAUAAACCCUGUUCUCUGAAUCUUGCCAUAACCUACAUCAAUCCAUAAAUAAAAGAACAAGCAAAUACUAAAUCAUUAUGAACCAAUAAGAAAACGAAGACUCAAUUAUCAAAGUCGGCAAGUUUAUGAGAUAUAGGAGAUAAAAAUAACCUGCCAGCAACAUAAAUUGCAGAGAAAGUAGCAAACAUUGAGAACAGUAGAAUUGAUAUUCUCGAUCCAUACACUCCACUCGAUACUCUAUUAUUCAAUCCUUUACUGCCACUGCUAUGCAUCAUUUCUCACUCCGCAAUGUCACUGGAUCUUCAAUCCCCUCUUGGUAGUAUCAACUGAAGUACCAAACUUUACACCACUUUUGCAUUAAUUAAACAAAUCCCAGUCCUUAAUUUGGAUUAUAAAAAAAAUAAUUCACAGUGUUGGUUUUCGUAAAGAGAGAGAAAGGAGUGGGUGAUGUGUUGGGUUGGUCUCUGCGAGCUCUCCUGCCUAAAGUAAUCGCCUUUCCUUUUUCUGGUCGUUGAACAAAAUCUCAGCUUUCCUUUUUUUCUAGCUUGUUCAAUUUUCUUUCAACUAAUUAAUUAUCCAACUCAUUUUUAUACAAAUAUAGAAAAAAUAUAUCUAACCAAAAAGGAAAUAAAGUAAAAAAAAAGAAAAAAAAAAGAGAGUAUCUGAACGUAUUUGAUUUGAUCUUAUAGCAAAUUAUGACCAUGAAUUAUCUCUUAAAAUUCCAAACUAAACAUAGUGAAAAAUUUGAGGUGCUGUUUGGUUGUAAACAAUUGUUUGAGAAGCAUUUGAUGUAAAUUGUUACAUAAUCACAUGAAAUAAUAACGCAGUUAAUGUAUCAUCAUUCAUUCGUUUAAAAAAGAAAGAAAAGGAAGAGAACUCUAUAAUCGUUCGAAGGUGGAUUGGGUUUUGAAAGGGUGGAGAGAUUGAUAUAGCAUGGGCUUGGGCCUACGUCCUGAAUAAAUAAAAAAGAAAUAAGGAACAAUUUGGGCCAGUUUUGAAAUGAUGGUUGGAUUUGGGAUGGGAAUUGAGAUUAAAAUGGAAGAAACGAGGCAAAAUCCAGCCUUGUGAAACGAACCAAUUGCGAAUGGUAGUGUACUAGUGAAAUAUUUGGGCGAUAAGCAAUAUUCAUGGCCAACUUCUCAGUUUGUCUUUACCGCUGUCAUUUAUCAGAGGUUCCAAUAGCCUUGGCAGCUGUUUCAGUUGCUCUCUCUCAAUAAUUGCUUAUUCUGUGAAUCUGUGAUCAGUGACACCUACUUGUUUUUCUUUUUCGCUUUUACCUGAUAUAGAUUAAAUAAUUCAAAUAGAUAAAUGGGUAAAAGACAGAGAGACAUUAAAAAACAAAGAAAGCUCCAAGAUCUAUCCUACUGGCGAGCUACUCGGUACCACCUAAACAAAUGUAUUAAUCAAUUUGGCCUGAAUGGUAAACCUAAGUCCCUAUGGUCGCUAUAGUUUUUUCUGACUCACGCCCUGACAAAACAUGACUCACAUUUCAUUAAUUAACACCAGACAGAACACAUACAAUUUCUCAAGUAGCCAAGAAUAACUACGAAACAAGUGUCCUUUCAGCGAGAUAAUUCUCUUAUUCCAUCUCCUUAUAUGGUUUGUUGCAUUAUUGAACCGUAUAUUUUUAUAACUUUAUUAUGAGAUAUAAACCUAAUCCUGGAUCUAGGGUUCAUAAUAAAUUAUUAUUCUUUUCUUUUUCCUAUCUGUCGACCAUUAUAUUAUGAUAAUUACAUCACAAGUUAAUAUUCUCUAAGAUGCUAUGUCCAUUUCUUGUAAUGAUGCCUUCAAAACCUAAUUAGCAUAAUUAUUGCGUGUUUAAAUAUUUUUACUUUGAUUAUUUAUAUUUUUACUUUUAAUUUAAUUUAUAAAAUAUUUUAAAUAUUCUUAAUUCUUGAUUUAUUUUAACAGAUAGUUAAUAUUUUUCUUUUAUCUUUUUAGUAAUAUAUAAAUAUUUAUACGCAAUGAUGAAAUUGUAUAUUAAAAAAGUAAAUUAAAAAUAUUAAAAUAAUUAAAUAAUUAAAAUUUAGAAAUCUAAAUAAACGUUUAAUAUAUAAAUGAAUUUACCUAACAAAGGAAACACAUUGUAUAUUUGUGGUUAGAAGUGGCUGUGGACUAGAUGUCAAAGUGUAGUCCACAAUUCAUUUUAUGUUUGGGUGAGACGGAUGAAAGAAACACUUCAAUCCCAUGCAUGUUGCCAAUUGUAUACAUGGCUUCGUACAAAUGCCAGAUUAGUGGUCCAGAUUUAAUCACUGUAGGGGAUCACGGGAGACGAACAAAUUAUAUAAAAAAAUUAUUUAUAUUUUUUAUGUAAUUGAUAUAUAUUUAUUAAUUUUAAAUAAUAAAAUAUAUAUUAAUUAUUAAAAAUUAAAAUAUAAAAUAUUCAUAAAUACAUAUCUUUUCUAUUAGUCAGUCGUGAUGUAUUAUUAUAUAUCAAGUCUUUCAUUCGUAUAAGAUGACAAAUUUAUAAUAUAAUAGUAUUUUGAAUAGACAUUUAUUGACUUACAAGACAAGACAACCUAACACAUGAGUACGGGAUUGGAUUUCUAAUUAUUUUUUUAAGUGAUUUUAUUUUAAAUAUCAUUAGGCUAAUGGGACCGACAAUUACUAUAAAAAGCUCGAUCGAUGUUAAUUGUUUUGGAAUACGUAUUUGUAUUAGUAGAUUAAUAUUUAGAUUUGGAAAGAAUGAUGAUUCUGAAUUAGUUAUAAACAUUGCGUGCUUAAAUAAUACUAUAUAUGAACAUGUCAUCCUCUGUAGUCAUUAGUAUUUUAGUGGAAUUAUUCACAUCAAACCUGUGAUGAGGAAUCACUUUAAUAUGGGUGGGUUAAACUGGAAAAGACACUCUAAAUUCAUAGUGGGAAUCGAUUGUGGCUAUCAAUUCAUACUCGAAUAAUAAACUUGCUGAAAUACUUUUAUGUAGUCACAUAUAAUUAGGUGUUAGAAAGAAAUAAUAGCAAACAAUGUAACUCAUUUUCUUAUGGUAAUUUUUUCUUCUUUGUUUUAUGUAGCAGUUUAAGUUGACAUUCGUCCCGUGCUAUAUAUGUGAAUAUGUUAUUUAAAUUAAUAUUUAGCAGUAGAAGAACAAAUGGAAUUUUAAUUCUUUCAAAGUUUUAGGUGGAAUUAAAGAUUUAUAAUAUUUUCAGCAAAAAAAAAAAAAAAAAAAAGGAUAUAUAAUAUACAUUCUCCAGCGUCUGAAUAUUUCAUGUAAGACAAAACACAUGCGAUAUUAAGACAGACGUGAGCCAUGACGACAUCGGACUUCGUUCAAUACCGCGCCACCGCUAUCUGUCUCUCUUUCGACCAAUCUUCCAUAUAAUUUCACUUUCUCUCUCCCGCCUCGCGCUCUCUUCUCUCUUUCUUAUUGCUCUUCUCUUCCUAUCAAUCCUCCACAGAGCCCACAUAUACAAAUGUAUAACUCUACAAACUAUACGUUAAACGUAACUUCUCAUUUCCAAGAAUAAGUUAUUGGUCCAGGAGGAUAUAAUUAAGAAACAUUUGUUUGCAAAAAGUUUCGCGCAAUUCUCAGGUAUAUAUAUAUAUAUAUAUAUAUACACACACACGUCGGUUUUGAAUAUCAAAUGCUUAAUACUAUAUUUUGUCACCUACCUUUGAAUGUUUCUUCGUCUUUUUAUUACAUUUUUUAUUGACAUGAUUUAUAUAGAUUCUUUUUUCUUGUUCAAUUAGUUUCUUUCUGACAAAUGAUUCAUUUUUUCUCUUUUAUUAUUUUUUAAAUCGUUUUUGGAUCUUAAAUCAAGAUUUUGUACUACUUUGAUAAAUCUAACAUUAGAUGUUUUGGCCUUUUUAUUAUUCUGAUGUUACAAGUAGAUAAUACUUGUUUGUAUUCCUACUCUUUAUAUCUGCUUAACAAUCUUCAUUUUCUUGAUUGACAAUAACAAUCUUGUAAUACAUGACUUUUAACUUCAUUAACAUUGGAUUGAAGGAUGAUGGUGAAGUUGGUCAUUUUUGUGUAUAAUGCAAGCUAGUUAUUGAGAUAAGAAGAAGGAUAUAUAUAAAUCCUAGCUUUUGGAAAAAUAUAUAUCCUGAAUGCACUCCAUUUAUACGCAAAAAAAUUUCUUGAAUGUGUAUAAAUUGUGUGUUAUGUACGCAAGAAAUCAUUAAUUUGAAAGUAAAAAAACCGUCCUGAACGAGCGCACCGAGAACGAACCUAACUGCAUUUUGUCUUCUUACAACUUUUUCUUCUUUUUAGCUUUCUUGUGAUCACAGGAAAGUUUUUGUUUGUAUACCUCAAACGUUCAAACUUUUUUUUUUGUUAAUUUUCUUUUUCACUUGGGUUUUUUAUGGUUCUCUCUCCUGUGUAGUGGACUUGUUGGGGAAAGUUGAAAUAUAUUCUUGCUAGAUUCUUAGAGGGGUACUUGACAAGUUUUCUGAUAAUUAACAAAAAAAAACAGGUGUUUUGUGCUAAUCAGAGUUGCGAGAGCAAAGAGAGGGGAAAUACAUCAUGGAGGACCUAUGGACAUUGUUUUGCGGGGAUUCUGGCAGUUCAGAUAUUAAGGGAAGGCCAUUUGGUUCUGAUUUUGUGGUUUUAAGUCAACCUUCUUCGUGUGUCAAUCAUUCCUUGAUUAUUUUCUUGGAUUUCUUGCUUCUGGUCUUGCUUCUGUUCAUUUCAAUACAAAAAUCUUCGUUGAAAAGGGAUAAGAUUCCACCUCGAUAUCGAGGCCUUUCAUAUUUGCAGAUAGGCUCUCUUGUCUUCAAUGGAGGUCUUGGAUUCGUGUACUUGUGCUCUGGCGCAUGGAUAUUAGAAGAGAAGUUGAGGAAAGACCAGAGUGCUUUACCCUUGAGCAGGUCGUUACUACUGUUCUUUCAGGGGUUCACAUGGUUGUUGGUGAGUUUAACCAUAAGUCUCCGAGGGAAACAACUUCCAAGGACUCCAUUGCGGCUACUGGCUGUUGUUGCAUUCGUCGUUGCUGGAAUCGUAUGCGCUUUAUCACUGUUUGCUGCCAUUUUAGGCGACAUAGUUUCAGUUAAGACGGCUUUAGAUGUUGUGUCCUUUCCAGGAGCAAUAUUAAUGCUGUUUUGUGCUUAUAAGAGCUACGUAGAGGAAGAGGUUGAUAUCAGUGAAAAUGGCCUUUAUGCGCCUUUAAAUGGGGAGACCGAUGGCAUUAGUAAAGCCGAUUCUUUUGUCCAAGUUACUCCAUUCGGUAAAGCAGGAUUUUUCAGUAGCAUGUCAUUUUGGUGGUUGAAUUCGCUCAUGAAAAAGGGUAAAGAAAAGACACUUGAGGAUGAGGAUAUACCCAAGUUGCGCCAAGCAGAACAAGCAGAAAGCUGUUAUUUGAUGUUCUUAGAGCAAGUGAACAAGCAAAAGCAAGCUAAAUCAUCCUCUCAACCCUCGCUGUUUAGGACAAUAAUAUCAUGCCACUGGAAAGACAUUCUUAUUUCUGGGUUCUUUGCUAUGCUAAAGAUACUUACUUUGUCAGCAGGUCCUCUUCUUCUUAAUAAUUUCAUUUUGGUUGCCGAAGGAAAAGCAAGUUUCAAAUAUGAAGGCUAUGUAUUGGCCUUAACACUUUUCAUCUCAAAAAGCUUAGAGUCCUUAUCACAAAGGCAGUGGUAUUUUAGGUCCAGGCUUAUUGGUCUGAAGGUGAGGUCUUUGCUUACAGCUGCAAUCUACAGGAAGCAAUUGAGACUAUCAAAUACUGGUAGAUUGAUGCACUCAGGCAGUGAGAUAAUGAACUAUGUUACAGUUGAUGCUUAUAGAAUUGGUGAGUUCCCCUUUUGGUUUCAUCAGACAUGGACAACAAGUCUGCAGCUCUGUAUCUCUCUUGUCAUUCUCUUCAAUGCAGUAGGGCUAGCUACACUUGCAGCCUUAGUGGUUAUUAUAAUCACUGUGCUGUGCAAUACUCCACUUGCAAAGUUACAACAUAAGUUUCAGUCGAAGCUUAUGGAGGCGCAAGAUGAGAGAUUAAAGGCAUGCAGUGAAGCUUUAGUUAAUAUGAAGGUGUUGAAACUGUAUGCGUGGGAAUCCCAUUUCAAGAACGUUAUAGAAAACUUAAGGGAAGUGGAACAUAAAUGGUUGUCAGCGGUGCAAUUACGAAAAGCAUAUAAUAGUUUUCUCUUUUGGUCUUCCCCUUUGUUGGUCUCUGCAGCUACUUUUGGUGCAUGUUAUUUCCUCAAAGUUCCUCUUCAUGCUAAUAAUGUUUUCACCUUCGUGGCCACUUUACGUCUUGUUCAAGAUCCAAUUAGAACUAUACCUGAUGUUAUUGGUGUUGUCAUUCAAGCAAAGGUAGCCUUUGCACGUAUUCUAAAGUUCCUUGAGGCACCAGAAUUGCAGAAUGGAAAUCUCCAACAGAAGCAAUCGAUGGACAGUGCAAAUCAUGCCACUUUAAUUACGUCAGCCAAUUUCUCAUGGGAAGAGAAUUCAUCAAAACCCACACUCAGAAAUGUAAAUUUGGAGAUUAGACCGGGUGACAAGGUGGCCAUCUGCGGGGAAGUUGGCUCGGGAAAAUCUACACUUUUAGCUUCAAUUCUUGGAGAAGUUCCAAAUACAGUGGGAACUGUAAGCAUUACUGCUUUUUUCUCUCCUGCAUUACCACGUGCAUUUCAAUAUUUUAGGACUGUUUUUAACAAAUAUUGCCAGUCUUCCAAUCCUUGUAUUUGUGCUCUAAAAAGCAUGUUUUUGUUUUUGAAUUGACAUCUUUAAUGAGCAAAAUUAACAUUUCUUUGCAUACUGAUGAUCUUGUUCUAUCUUACUUAUCUACAGAUUCAGGUUUCUGGGAGGAUUGCUUAUGUUUCUCAAACAGCUUGGAUUCAGACAGGAACAAUACGAGAGAACAUUUUAUUUGGCUCUGCCAUGGAUAGCCAACGGUACCAGGACACGCUAGAGAGAUGUUCAUUGGUUAAGGACUUUGAGUUGCUUCCUUACGGUGAUCUUACUGAAAUAGGGGAAAGAGGAGUGAAUCUGAGUGGUGGUCAAAAGCAGCGAAUUCAACUUGCUCGUGCUCUCUAUCAGGAUGCUGACAUUUAUCUUCUGGAUGAUCCAUUCAGUGCUGUUGAUGCACAAACUGCCACGAGCUUAUUCAAUGUAAUUAUGGUUUACUAACAGCAAACAAAGUUCUUAACUUCUGAGUUUAUUAUUAGCCUUCUGUCAAAGCUAACUUAAGUGUUGCAGGAAUACGUGAUGGGUGCACUUGCAAGGAAGACAGUCUUACUUGUAACACACCAAGUUGAUUUCCUGCCAGCAUUUGAUUCCGUUUUGGUUGGUAUUCUUUCGUUUGAGCUAAUUUUUCGGUUUCUUUUUCUUUCCAUCAGUUAUUGUUUAUAAGUAGUUUUAUUCAAUGUAGUGACUAGUGCAUUGGUGACAGUUGAUGUCAGAUGGUGAAAUUCUGCGAGCAGCUCCUUAUCAUCAGCUGUUGGCCUCAAGUCAAGAAUUUCAGGAACUUGUCAAUGCUCACAGAGAGACAGCUGGUUCCGAAAGGCUUACUGAUAUUACUAACACUCAGAAAAGAGGAUCAUCUACUGUGGAGAUCAAGAAGACAUAUGUAGAGAAGCAGCUUAAAGUAGCCAAAGGAGAUCAGUUGAUCAAACAAGAAGAAAGAGAAACGGGAGAUACAGGGCUAAAGCCUUACCUUCAGUAUCUGAAUCAGAACAAAGGAUACUUGUACUUUUCCAUUGCCGCUCUUAGUCACCUUACGUUUGUGAUUGGUCAAAUAGCUCAGAAUUCUUGGAUGGCAGCUAAUGUUGACAAGCCUCAAGUCAGUCCAUUGCGAUUGAUUGCAGUCUACUUGAUUAUUGGAGUUUCUUCCACACUGUUUCUGCUAUGUAGAUCUCUCUCUACCGUCGUUUUGGGUCUUCAAUCAUCGAAGUCUCUAUUUUCACAGCUACUAAAUUCCCUUUUCCGUGCACCUAUGUCCUUUUAUGACUCCACACCACUUGGAAGAAUACUUAGUCGGGUAAGCAUCUCAACUACAAAUGUUGAUUGGCAGCUUUAAGAGAGAUGAUAUGCAACUAACAUCUCCGUAUCUGUGCAUGUAUUGUUUCUUGCAGGUAUCCUCCGAUCUGAGUAUUGUUGACCUUGAUGUCCCAUUUAGUUUAAUCUUCGCUAUAGGAGCUACCACGAAUGCUUAUUCUAAUCUUGGAGUACUGGCUGUUGUUACCUGGCAAGUACUGUUCGUCUCCAUACCAAUGAUUAUUCUGGCAAUUCGUUUGCAGGUAACUUUCAUGAGACAUAUAGUCUGCAAGAGAUAAUAUUUCUUCAUGUUACAUGCAUGUAACCAAUUUCUGAAGAAGUUAAUAAUAGUCACUUUGGUAUACACGAGCUAAUAUGCCAGCAUCAACACAGUGCAGAGCAUGGUUACUUUAGAUCUGAUUUUCAUCAACAAAUUCUGGAUAUUGCAGUCUAUUAUAUGAUUCUGAUAGUGGCGAUAUCUCAUGCCGUUCUCUAGAUAAAUCCUUUUUCUUUUUCCAGUAUUUUUGUUAUUGGAGUUUGACUUUAUCCUGAUUAGUGAACGUUGACUGGCUGUCUGGUAUCUGCAGAGAUAUUACUUUGCGUCUGCGAAGGAGUUGAUGCGGAUAAAUGGUACAACCAAAUCCUUGGUGGCAAAUCAUUUAGCUGAAUCUGUAGCAGGGGCUAUGACUAUAAGGGCUUUUGGGGAGGAAGAACGAUUCUUUGCAAAAAAUCUUGACCUUAUCGACACAAACGCUAGUCCUUUCUUCCAUAGUUUUGCAGCAAACGAGUGGUUGAUACAACGGUUGGAAACACUAAGUGCAACUGUUCUUGCCUCUGCUGCACUCUGCAUGGUUUUACUUCCUCCUGGAACUUUUAGCUCUGGUGAGGAUAUAAUCUUUAAUUUCUUAUGACAUACUGUGCUUUUCCAUAACUCAAAUGAUUAUGAGCUCAUAUUGAUGAAAUAGACACUGAUUUCAGACCCAUUUGUUUUGUAUGGAUACUAAAAAUGACUUGCAUUGUGCAGGAUUUAUUGGAAUGGCACUUUCAUACGGUCUUUCCUUAAACAUGUCCCUGGUUUUUUCAAUCCAAAACCAGUGCACAAUAGCGAAUUACAUCAUUUCUGUUGAAAGGCUUAAUCAAUACAUGCAUAUACCAAGUGAAGCCCCCGAGGUAAUACAAGAUAACCGUCCCCCAUCCAAUUGGCCAGCAGUGGGUAAAGUGGAUAUCUGCGAUUUGCAGGUAAAUUUUGUUCCUCUGUUUAAUACUUUAGUGGGACAACUCACAAAAAUUAAGUUAAGUUCACUGAUUUUGACUUGAAACAGAUAAGAUACAGGCCUAAUGCACCACUGGUUCUUCGAGGAAUCAGUUGCACAUUUCAAGGAGGGCACAAGAUUGGUAUUGUUGGCCGUACUGGCAGCGGAAAGACUACUCUUAUUGGAGCUCUAUUUCGUCUGGUGGAGCCGGCAGGAGGAAAGAUUAUUGUAGAUGGCAUUGAUAUCUCUAGAAUUGGGCUGCAUGAUCUGAGGUCGCGAUUCGGAAUAAUUCCUCAAGAUCCUACUCUCUUUAACGGGACUGUGAGAUACAAUUUGGACCCCUUAUCUCAACAUUCUGAUAAAGAGAUAUGGGAGGUACAUUCAUGCGUUAACUGUUCACACACGAAAGAAUUUUAUAUAUAUAUAUAGCAAUGUGUCGGCAGUAUUUACUCUGUACUAAUAAGCGCCUCAAAUUAAAAUUUUCCAUGUGCAAUUUCUAGGUUCUUGGAAAGUGCCAGCUUCGAGAGGCUGUCCAGGAGAAAGAGCAGGGUCUAGAUUCCAUGAGUAAGUUUUUCAAUCUAAAGUACAUGGUGUUUAUCCUUUAUCGUUUGUAAUUAUUAUUGACAACUAACUGUCUGGAACACAGUUGUGGAAGAUGGGGCAAAUUGGAGCAUGGGGCAGAGACAAUUGUUCUGCUUGGGGCGUGCACUUUUGAGGAGAAGUCGAGUGCUGGUGCUUGAUGAAGCAACUGCAUCAAUUGACAAUGCAACUGACUUGAUCUUGCAAAAAACUAUCCGAACUGAGUUUGCAGAUUGCACCGUGAUCACAGUAGCUCACAGGAUACCAACAGUGAUGGAUUGCACCAUGGUACUAGCUAUCAGUGAUGGUGAGUUUCAUUCCUUAUUCUGUUGCCUAAACAUUACGAUUCGGUAUGGACGUGUGUAUUCCUCUAUAUGGUACCUAAGCAAGUUGAUUUCAAUCCAUUUCUUGGUCAAGCUCAUGUAGAGAAGAAAUCUUAAAAUGUGGUGUUUCUUGUUUCUGUUGCAUUUCAGGAAAAAUAGUAGAGUAUGAUGAGCCAAUGAAGUUAAUGAAAAAUGAAAGUUCAUUGUUUGGGCAGCUUGUCAAGGAGUAUUGGUCCCAUUAUCACUCUGCAGAAUCACGUUGAAGCUAGUAACCAUUUCUUACAUAAGCCAAAAUUUCACGCUCGCUUGGCAGCAAAGUGGACAAGUGGGGAAGUAAAUUGUAUAGUAGUACCAAGGGAGGGGUACCAAUUGAAGGUGGUGGCAGAGUUCAUAACCAGAUAUUUAAGGUUAUGUAAACAAGAUCUAUUACAAGAAAGCAACUGAAUACAAUUGGUCACAACCAUUCUGAAUUCCAAAUUCCAACAUCUUUUUAGUUUAGAAAAGCUCAGCGGUACUACAGAAGUAGAAGCAAUUUUUCUUUCCUGGUUUACACUUCAAGAUGUCAAUGUAUUGUCUGCUCAACACCACAGACAUAGCAGGGAAAAAACUUUGAGCUUGCAUAGAAAACUGUCCCUAAUAAAGCACCAUUACUGCAUUUUUCUUCUCUUCCUACAUUCAUGCUAGCAUUUAUUCCUAUGUCUUUUUAGGACUUCCCAUAAUCAUCCUACAUAAAACAGUAGCUCAAACUUUUCCUUGAUUUACUGCCUUUAUAAUUUUAUAAGAACAUCUAUAAUUUUAAUUUACCAGUGAGAAUAGAAACAUUUGCAAAGUAGCUCAAACUUAAUCAAAGCCUUCAAAUCACGAUUCACUUAAGAUCUAUGUUUCAAAAUUCAAUUUUUAUUAUUGACCUGUUAAGUGAAAAAACGAUGGUGAGUGGCAUUCCUUACUCUCAUACUUAAACAAUGCGCUCCAAAUUCAAUAUGGAUAUAGUGUCUAAGUAAGUUGCUUCUAAUGAAUGCCAAUCACUCCUCAUUUGGAAAAAAUUAACUUCAAUUAAAAAAAAAAGAUAAAAAGAAAAUAAAAUUAAAAUAAUAAAAUUAAAAGAAAUAUUUUAUUCUGUUGUUUGGGCAAAAACAUAUAAAAGCUAGCUAAUAACCGUUUACAUAAGCAAAAAGUGCAUGCUCGCUUCGCUUGGCAGCAAAAUGGAAGGGAGGAGAGAAUAUCAGUAUGUACAGUAUUAGCAGGGAACAUCGCAUUUAUAAAACUGAUUAUGUUGGUCGUCAUAUUCUAUUUGUCAAUGUGUACAUUCUCUCCAGCAGAAGGGCUUUAUGGUAGCUAAAAAAUGCAAUAAAAUCUCUUUAAAAUGAGAAUUUACUUAUUUGAUGCUAUAACCAUAACAGCAAAGCAAAAACAAGCUGACCCCUCAUAGCUCUCGACGAAAUUGUGUUAUACUGCUAGAAAGAUACCUAUUCACAUCUCUUGGUCUUUAAUAGAAUGGAUGCUGCAUCUGUGCUGACUAGGCCUCUUUUUAGACUACUUUUGCCACUUAGGUAAAGGUUCUAUUAGAUAAAUUCUCCUGGUAAAUAUAUCUCCUACUCGAAUUGUUGGAAAAUGUAAUCAGAACACACAACUUCAUCUACACAUGUACAGGACGCACGUGAUUGUUAGAUCCAUGGGGGAAUAGCUGUAAGCAAUCCUAUUUCAGUAAAAAAGACACAGCACCUGCGGUUUCAUCAUGAGAUCCUAGUAGUCAUCCUAUUUUCCUAUCGAGUGAUUCAAGAAGCAAUUUAAAAGAAAAUAUACAAAAAAGGGGGUGCAGAAUUGAUUUUGUAAAGCACAAAAAAGAAUAUAAGAAUUGCUCGACAGAGGAUUUAAUUAUCAUAUACUUGAUGAUAGAUAACUGCAAUUCCUGGAUGAAAAAGUCAUUAAAAUGAGUAGCCAGCAUACAGUGGCAAGAAUAACCGUGUGGUGCUCAUCUCUAAGGUCCUCCAAGAAUAGCGUUUUCAAUGUCCUCCCUACUUAAUGCGUAACUGAAUCUCCUCUCCACAUCUUUUUCAAGACUCCCUGGUCCACUCUUUAAAUACCUGCAUUGCGACAUACAAUCUUAUCAGCUCACAGCUAAUUGAGAUUAAUGAGGCUAAUCAAGUAGGUCCUGUUUGUCCUCUAAUCACAAAUUCGCAUUACAGAAACCAUAAUUGAAUUGAAAUAAGAAGGUUCACAAACCAACUUCCCAACACCUAAGCCUCUAAGCUUAUUCAGUAAAUUUUGGUUAGCCUAAUUCUUAGCUUGAGUGCUAUGUUCCAAUUCAUUCAUUCAUGUAAUAUGAUAACUCGAUAAUUUGUUCAGCUUCUAACCCCCAUAAUAAUGCCCAAUAGUACCAAGCAGAUAUGAUUAUAAGGUGAGCAAUCCCAUGAUGUAAUCAAUCUUAGGUAUGAAUGUGUGAACUACAACUUAUACCAUAACAUCAAUGUAUUACUUGUUUGUACUUUAAACUGCCCCCAAUCAACACCAUUUCCAACUUCUCUCGAAAAGAAACCAGUUAAUUUGCAUCCUUAAACUUACCACCACUCCAUUUAAUUGUUUAUACAGAAGUAAGAUCCUAAUACAUACCUGAUUCAUGAGCUGCAAUUGUUUACCUAAUAAUAGCUUUCUCCAUAUUUACGAGGUAUUUAUAAAUCACUCAUGCACUUGUUUUUUUUAACAAAGCUUAUAAAAUGUGUAUUUCUAGUAGUACACUCUAAAGAUAAUCUGACUUACUAAACCAUUAUGUAGCCACAAAAACAAAUCUAGCUGCCAAUUCCCUUCGAAAUCAACAGAGCAAUGAGAGAGACAACAAGAAACACUGCCUAGGAGUCAGAACUUGAUAAACAAAACAACAACAGCUAUAAUUUGGCAAAUGCAAGACACGAUUUAGUCACAAUGAUUGUAAUAGCUAUCGCACAAUAAAAAUUCUUCAUUGGAAGCGCAAAAACAAAUCUCUUUAGCAAUACAUAACUAAAAAAGAAAAGAACGACUUUUCUUACCUUAUAUAUAAAUCAGUUAUAUCAAGAGAUAACUGAGCAUGCCACUCGAGCUUUUCAAUAAGCCAUAUAGCACGAUCAUCUUUGCUUUGAUGAAAGCCUAAAUCUUUGAGCCAAGCCUCAAUGCAAGGCAGGCUAUGAGAAUACAAAGGCUUUUUCUUGUCAGGAAGCUUCUUGAGCCACUCAUCUUCAGUAGAAGACAAUUCCUCUUCUGCCUCUGAUGAUUUAGAGGAAACUACUGUUGGGGUUUUUCUUGGGAAGUAACAGCAUAAAUUGUGGGAACAUAAAAGAGAUUUAGAAAAAUGGGAAGGGUGUGAAAUGGGGAAAAGAUUGAAUCUUGAAGGAGUUGAAGACUGUGUAGAAGACAGUGAAUGAGUCGUGGUAACUAAAGAGGUAGAAAUGGCUGACAUGUUAUUUGGUUUCUUAAUUUAGGGUUUUUAUUGGUUCAUUUAGUUACCUGUUCUUGAUGAUCAAUUGGGUAACUGAAAUUUGGUAAAAAAUUUUAGAGGGAGCAGUACAGAUAGAGAGAUUGUUCUGAAUGAGCAGCAAAGACCUUCAUUAUCUAUUUCUACUUCUUCGAGUGUUCUGGAGGUUAUUUUCUGGUGUGACCAACUGAAGCUGGAACUUCAGAUUGUUGACAUGCGGCGGAAUCUCAUUACUUGUAGUGGAUAUGAUCAAGAAGCAAGUUGCGGCUGACUUGUUUGACUGUAUUAGUAGCAUGUAAGUUCGAGUGUAUUGGAUAGCAUGCUGCUGCUACUUGUUACCAAAUAACACUUUCGAUCCUUCCUUUCGUUGUAACAAUUCAUUUCGGUGCUAAGUGAUUGAUUGAAAAGGAUUAAUAUAAACUGAAAAUAUAAAAAAUAAUGAUUGAGAUUAAUGUAAACUGAAAAGAAUAUUAAAUAAAAUGAAAAUAUAGAAAAUUACAUAUAAAAAACAAUGAAAAGGAUUAAUAUAAACAAAUUAUAAUAAUGAUUGAGAUUAGUUGAGAUGUUUUUUUAUUAAAUCCUUUUAAUAUAAUUUUUUUAUUAGCAAUAUAAUUAAAAAGCUAACUUAUUAUAUAAAAUAUAAUUUUAAAUAAUAAAAAAGUAAAUAUUAAAAUAGAAAUAAUACAUUAUUAAAAUCUCUUCGGUUUUAAAUUUCUUUUUACAUUAAGUGAAUUAAUUUUUUACGGUGAGUGAAAGAAUUACUUUUUUUAUGGUGUAAUCUACAUUUGUUAAUCAUUUUUUUGUAUUUUUUCAAUAUAAAAGAAAUGCUAACAAAUUAAUAAUAUCGAUUAGAUAUAUGGUUAAGAUUUGAAAAAAAUGAUUAACUAUUAAUAGAAAAUGAUUUUAGUAUUUAAAGAAUCUAAUUAAGUUUUUAAAAGAGAGAGAGAAUGAAAUUGUAAAAGAAAUGGACUUGAUGAUGAAUUAGAGGAUUAAACCACGUGGCGGGUGAGAUAUAGUAUUAUUCAGCAGAAAUAGUCCCGCCAAUAUAAACACCAUUUCUGCUUUCCCGCCCUCCACUUUCAGUAAGGACGACAACGUUUCACUUCUAACUUUCCCUUUCUCUUCCAUCUCAGCCCCAUACCAUACGCAUCAUCUGGCAAAUCUGGAACCUCCAGAAACCCUCUGCUUUCUCUCUGGGCAAUGGCAACGGCAGUGCCGGUAAUACAGUCAAUGACAAACUACAAGCAAACACAACGCAUAGUUCUGUUAAUGGACCUAAACCCAUCUCUCCAUCUCCAAAACCCAAACCCAUACCUAAUCUCUCUUAUGUCCACUGCUAAAACUCUUCUUUCAUUCCCUCAGCUUUCCUCUUCUCUCUUUUCCUUUAAACCAUUUUUCUCCUCUCUCUCUCCUCUUCUCUCUUCCUCCAGACUCUCCAUUCCUUCACUUUCUCUCUCCUUUAACCCCCCAAACACAACUCUCGAUUCUCUCUCACAUUUCCUUACUUCUCUCUUAACCACUACUGAUAAAGUUUCAAUUCCGUCUUCCUCGCCGCGCGCUUUACACCUAUCUGCCUCUUUGCGCCAGCUUGUUCAUGAUUACGCGUGGGACUCUAUAAUCUCUGACGACGGUGGUGAUCAUUCACUGUCUGGUACGCUUUUGAAUUGUGUUAAACCUAAUUUAGUUGUUCUGUUUUCGCCGAUUAUUAGGUCGUUGAAUGGUUUGUGUGAGUUUUUUGAUAUGGAAUUGAGUGAUGCUGAUGAGUUUGUUGACAAGUUUCGUGAGGUUUUUCAGAGUGUCAAUGAUGCUUUUGUUAGUAAAGGCAUUCAUUUUAGUUGGGUUGAUGUCAAGUAUGAGACUGGGUGUGAUGAUGCUUUUGAUGAGUCUGGGGUUUUUGAGAGUGGGAUUAGGGAUUUAGGAUGGGGUAUUUGUUCUAGUGAUUGUAUUGUUUUAGGUUCUGCAUUACUUCCUUUUGGAUUAAUUUAUCCAAGGAUUGGGAUUUCCCCAAAGUUUGUGAAUUUUGAUGAUAGUCUUAAGCCAAUUCAUGCGCAAUUGAUUCUCGAGAUACUAGAUGUUAAUGGAAAGCCUUUGGAAUGUAAGUGCUGUGAUCUAGAAUUGGUCAAUUUGAACAUAUUUUCUGCAAUUACUUCAAAAUUGAUUUGGGAAGAUUUUAGACAUGGAAUUAUAAAACUUCAUGUUAAGGCAGUACAAAAUAGUGAGAAAUGUGUUAAAUUUGAUGGGUUUACCUUAUCCAAUCCCGUUAUUGUGCGCGAGUUAUCAGGGGUUUCUGGUGGUCAAAAAGAAAGUUGCAGUGAAUUUUUUGAAGAUAGGGUUCUUGAAAUCCUGGGUGUGCAAUUGGGUGAAUUGGUGCCAAGAAAAUCUAUACCUAUUUUGCAAAUUCUCUUCAGUUUUCUGUACAGACAAGAUUAUUGGGCUUUGGUAUCUCUUUCAAAUAGCAAUGGCAAUUCACUGGAAGGAAUUAUGAAGCCUUUCACAGUUUCUUUAGCUUUACUCUCGAUUGUAAAAUUCAACCCUAAUAAUGAAUUUGAUGGAGCAGGUUUUCAUCAAUCCGUUAUGAAGUCUGAAACUAAAAAUUGUGAAUCCAAAUCUGACAUUAGCCACUCCUUUGGACUGGUAGGUUCUCAGUUCACGCCUUCACCUUCAAAUAAGGAUGUUGAAAUUGAAGAUAGUAAACGGAAAAAGACCAAAAAAAGUUUAAAUAUGCUUCAGGAAUUAACAUGGAGCGCCUUUUAUAAGGCGGCAUUGGAUCACUUUGACUUAGAUUUGGAAGAUGUUUACUUUGCCAGGGGAUGUAGCAAGUCAAAGAAGUUGAAAUUUUUGAGAUGCUGGAUAAAACAGAUUAAGAAAUCUAGCAAUUGUAGCUUGACUGAACUGGAGGGAUCUAAGCUGCAACAGGACAUCCCAAAAGAAGUAGUCAAUAGAUUAACCAAGUUACCUCAGGAAUGUGAACAGCCAAUUGCUUCAUGCUCCUCAGUGGCAGAGGAUUCUUUAAGUGGGGCCUCUAGAAUACAGGAUGAAGUUGUUAUGGGUCUUUGCUCAGAAUCCUUGGAAAGUUUCUUAAAUAAUCUUCCUCACAAAAUCCAGCAAGGGCUUGAAUCUGAAGAAGUAGACCUGGCAUCUUUGGCAAAUAGACUUGUCAAUUCAUCUAUCUUUUGGUUAUACCAAAAGUACGAAAAAGAAACGAUGUCGGAGAGUCAAAUCCAUGUUGUAAAAUCUGACGAUCCUUCUAGUAGUAUAGUGGCUCUUCAGCUAACGAAUCUAUUACUUGUAGAUCCUAAGGACUUGGCUACUGUGCAUAAAAAUGGUCAUCGGUCCUCUCAUGCAUCAUCUGAAGCUACUUCAGAAAACAUAAUUAGAGAGUAUCCUUUUUUCAUCUAUUUUCAUUUCCUUUUUGGUGGGGUAGCAAGGUGGUAUUUUUUCUUUUAUCUGUCUUUUUUCUGUUAAUUGUUUUUAGGUUCUCAGUAUGGCAAUGACAUUUUCCUUAAUCAGCCCAAGAUAUGAAUUGCAGAUUUUGUUUCGCAUGGAGAUACUCCAAUCAGAGGUUGGAGCAAGUUUUGUUGAGUCGACAAAGCAAAAGUUUGCAAAGCAAAUUUGUUUGCUUUUGGAGAACGUUCAGUGCCAUUUGCAGGGGGACUUUUUUGGAGAUUGGAGCCUUGAUAAAUAUGUGGAGAAGAUCAUAAAAAGCAGGUACUUAUGGCUGCAUAAAGUUACACUUCUCCUGAAAUUAAAUUAGUUUCCUUUCUGAAGUCUAUCUAGACUAUUAACACAUCCGGCUGUGGAUUGUUGGAGCUGUUUAAAAUGGAUAUUUCUGGUGUCUGCUAUUCCACCAUUCUUUAGACAAAAUCUAUUCUGUUAUAUCUAUGUCAUCGUUUGGAGUCCAAGCCUUGGAGGGAACUCAUUUAAGCAUGGAGGAACUUUUAUGUAUGAGAAAAUAGGUCUGGUUAUGCAUUUCUAUCUUAGGUAGACAGUAGUUCUGAUGAGUAUGGUGUACAUAUGUUCAACUAAAUUCAACUAAGCCUUUUUCUUUUAACUAAUUAACUCCCUUUCGAUCUGUUUAGAGCUACUGAUUCGUGAUUUUCUAAUAUUUUUUAGGGUAUGUGUUAGCCAUAUUGGAUUAUAUAUACUUUCCACGCUCAACAAAAAUCUAACCUUUUGUCAACUCAUGAAUUUUAUUCGCAAUUGUGAUAUUGGGUUGCGUGUGAUUCCCAAUCGCCACUAAGCUUUCCUUCAUCUUCCAUUGCCACCCAGUGUUAUUGCCAGUGCCAGUUUGCGCUUCUUAGUUUGCGUUUGUUAAAGCCUGGCUGUGGCUGCGGUUUCUAGUUUGGUGAUUGUUUUUUCUUUUUCCUACCCAGUGUCUGCCUUAGCCACAAAGAGGAAUUGCAUAUGUGAGCAUUCCAUUAUUGUAUGAGAGGAGAGACUGUGCACAUACUCGAUUUAUAAUUAUAUUGCUGAAUUUUCAGGUAUGGUCAGAGCCUUGGGGAUGUGGUUGAGAAAAUUUAUGAAAGAAUGGAUCUCUUGCUGUUUGAGGAUGAGGAAGAAACUGCCAACACUUUACUCAAUAGUGAGGAGAGUAGUCAAUCCUGGAGAGAAAAACACAAAAGAGAUGAAGCGGAUGAAAACUGUAUAAAGAAUAAUCAAGUUUCGACAGAAGAGGAGCCCUUUCAAGGGGCGGAAAAUGAGCAUCAAAGCCUGCAAGGGGAGGAGCAUGCUCGUAAACUACUUGAAGCUCAGCAACGGAGACAAAGGGCUCGUAGAUUUGCAUCUUUCACAAGCUGGGUUCCAGAUUUGCAGAGAGUUUGGGCGCCAAAGCAGCCAAAGGCAAUGAAAGUGAAUUCAGAUCAUGUUCGGAAGUUUUCAAAAAGGAAAGAGAAGGGAAGGUUAAGCUAUGAUACAGUAUGUGAGACUCCCAUGAGUGGAUUGAAACGUUCUUGCGGCAGGGGAGGUGGUAGUAGUGGUGAAAAAGACUACCAAGAUACUGGCAGCUCUUUGCGCGGUUCUGUUUCAAAGGCUUUGUUUCAAGAUGACUGACUGAUGACGCAAGUUCUUAGUAGGCCCUUCAUCUCUCAUAUUCAUUCUUAACAAAUAAUAAAUUGUGCUUCGUGACAACCUGUAUAUUACCACAGGCCCGCACCUUGCACCUUACCUCAUUUUCUCACUAUUUGUAAAAAAUAGGCUGUAAUUUUUAUAUAUCUAAGAUAAAAAAAGAUGUCAACUUUUUUAUUUCUUUCUUUUUAAUCUGGCGCUCUUGCAUUGCAUUUACAAGCAUUUUAAUAUCAUACCACCGUAGAUUAAACCACCACCGACGUGAGAUCUUGCCGGCACUGUUGUUCUGUUCUGUUCAAGGCUACAAUUAAAUAAUAGAAAAUACUAAAUAUCCCACAACAGUUUACUUUUUUUUCUCUCUUUUAAGAAUGUAUUAGGAGUGGAAUAACUCAGAUUACAUCUUAAACACUAGAAUUCAUUCAAUGUGAUAUUUUGAAAUAAUUUACAAAGAGUUAAGGAUUAUAUAAAAUAUUUAUUGUGAAAAAAUCAAUGGAGUUUUUUAUGGGAGAUAUUUAUUUAUUCUUGAUUAGUGUAAUACAAGUUCAUCUAGAUUUAUUAUUUAAUUCUAUAUGAUUUAUUUAUUAUUCAUUUUAUAUCUAUCUUUUAAUCAAAAUAAGUGCAUUAAAUUAAUAGCUACAUCAAAAAAAAAAAAAAUUGUAGUUUUAGUUAUAUGCUAAAAUCAUAUCUAAAAUCUUUUAAAAAAAGUUGGUUGAUUUGCUUUCUAUGUGUAUCUGAAUAUAAGUUUUUUUCUUAUUGAAUUAUUAUAUAUGGAUCAAUAAGUAUAGUAUUCAAAAACAAAACUAUUUAUUUAAUAUAAAAAUAAUAAUAUAUAUUGUUUAAUAUAGUCAGUCAUUGAGAAAAAGAGCUCCUAUUAUAUUGCUCAAUGAAUAUAAAUAUUAUUAUUACCUUUUAAAUCUUGAAAUUCUAAAAAAAACAAUAUGUAUGUUUAAUUAAGUUUUACUAAAUAAAAAUAAUUAUACAUUUAAAUAUAUUAGAGUUAGAGAGAGUCUCUGCUAUAAAAUCUAAUCCUUAUAUGAUUAGAAUAUAAAGGUUCAUUUAUUCAACUUAUUAACUAAAUAAUUAAAUUAUAAACCAACCAAAUAGUAUAUGAAUUAUAAAUUUAUUUUUUCCAUACUAAUUUUAUAUUGAAUUGUGAGCAUUCCUGGAAAAUUCAAUUCACUGUAUAAUUUUUCUUGCGAGUUAGCCGCUAUAUCGAACUUUCUCUUCGCUCGCUCGAGGCAAAUAAAUGACAAAUUCGAAAACUGAAUGAAAGUUGAUUUUGGUGGGUGGGUGCUGAAAGGUGAAUCUAGGGUUUCUCUUGUUCAGGGAUCAAUAUCAUUAGAUUGAUUGGAGAUGGCUAAGUCUUGCAAGGGGUUGGCGAUGGAAUUAGUCAAAUGUCUGAGCGAAUCUGAUUGUGUUAAGGUUGAGAAGCGACCGUAUAGAGAAUGCGCAGGUGAGAAAAGCCCUUGUAUACCAAGUGAGUGCGUUGGACUUAGAGAAACUUACUUCAAUUGCAAAAGAGGCCAACUUGACAUGAGAGCUAGGAUUCGCGGUAACAAGGGCUAUUGAAACUCACUUGUUCUCCUGAUUUUAUGAAUUUUACAACUUUAUGUUUAAGUGUUUCUGCUUUCGAUUGUAUUCUCCUACUUUGUUAGUCCAGUUUGUUUCUUUUGAAUAAAAGUUUAUUUGUCCCAAUACUUCUAAUGAAAGCAAUUGCUUCCCUUUCACGCUACUUUGCCACUGCCAGACAACUAUCUUUCACAGAAGAUUUAUGCAAUAGGAUUUUGGAUCAAUACCCAGAUAUCAAUACACUUAAAAAACUCCAUGGUAAGGUUUUGAACGACCAAUAUCUUCGCUGGAAUCCAUCUGUUGGCAUUAAAUUGAUGAGAGUUUAUGCUGCUUGUGGUGAACCAGGGCUCGCACGCCACAUAUUUGAUGAAAUUACUGACAAGAAUGUUGUUUUCUUUAAUGUUAUGAUUAGAAGCUACGUUAAUAAUCAUUUAUACAAAGAUGCUUUACUUGUUUAUAAAACCAUGUAUACCCAAGGAUUUGUUCCUGAUAUGUACACUUAUCCUUGUGUUUUAAAGGCUUCUUCUAGGUCUGAUAGCUUGUGGGUUGGUUUGCAAAUUCAUGGCGCUGUUCUGAAAAUUGGGCUUGAUUUAAAUUUAUAUGUUGGGAAUGGAUUAAUUGCUAUGUAUGGAAAGUGCAAGUCUUUGAAAGAGGCUCAACAAGUGCUUGAUGAAAUACCGUGUAGAGAUGUAGUUUCCUGGAAUUCAAUGGUUUCUGUGUAUGCACAAAAUGGACGGUUUAAUGAUGCAUUGGAGCUUUGUAGAGAAAUGGAGGCUUUAAACUUAAAACCUAAUGAUUGCACAAUGGCUAGCCUUUUGCCUGCUGUCACUAACACUACUUCCGAUAAUGUUCUGUAUGUUAAGGAAAUGUUUUUGAAGCUGACCAAAAAGAGUGUCAUUUCUUGGAACGUGAUGAUUGCUAUGUAUGUGAACAAUUCAAUGCCUAAAGAAGCAGUAGUCUUAUAUUCACAGAUGGAAGCAAACGGCGUUGAACCCGAUGUUGUCUCUAUUGUUAGUGUUCUUCCUGCUUAUGGUGAUCUUUCUGCUCUGUCACUAGGAAGGAGAGUUCAUAAGUUCGCUGAGAGAAAGAAGCUGCUUCCAAACUUGCUUUUGGAGAAUGCACUGAUUGACAUGUAUGCAAAAUGUGGGUGUUUACGGGAUGCAAGAGCAGUAUUUAAUCAAAUGCAGUUUCGGGAUGUUGUUUCAUGGACUUCUAUAAUCUCUGCUUAUGGUAAGUGCGGCCAGGGCCGAGAUGCUGUGGCAGUGUUUGCAGAAAUGCGGAACUCGGGUUUGAAUCCAGAUUCAAUCGCCUUUGUUUCUGUUUUAGCAGCCUGUAGUCAUGCAGGAUUACUAGAUGACGGGCGAUAUUACUUUAAUCUAAUGGCGGAAUGUGGGAUAACUCCAAAGUUAGAACACUUUGCUUGUGUGGUGGAUCUAUUAGGACGUGCUGGAAAGAUAGAUGAGGCAUAUGGCUUUAUCAGACAAAUGCCUUUGGAACCUGAUGAAAGAGUUUGGGGACCUCUGUUGAGUGCUUGUCGGGUUUAUUCGAACAUGAAUAUUGGGAUUCUGGCUGCUGAUAAACUUUUGAUGUUGAAUCCUGAGCAUUCAGGUUACUAUGUCUUGCUAUCCAACAUUUAUGCAAAAGCUGGAAGAUGGGCAGAUGUCGCAGCCAUCAGAUCAAUCAUGGAGAGAAAGGGAAUCAAGAAAUUACCUGGUAUUAGUAAUGUGGAGCUCAAUGAUGGUGUUCACACAUUUCUUGCUGGUGACCACUCACAUCCUCAGUCAAAAAAGAUAUACGAAGAGUUGGAUGUAUUAGUUGGUAAAAUGAAAGAGCUUGGUUACAUGCCUGAGACUGAUUCUGCACUUCACGAUGUGGAAGAGGAGGAUAAGGAAUACCAUCUAGCAGUCCAUAGUGAGAAGUUAGCUGUUGCCUUUGCUAUUAUAAACACAAAGCCGGGAACUCCAAUUAGAGUUACCAAGAAUCUUCGAGUUUGUGGAGAUUGCCAUGUUGCUGCAAAGCUCAUCUCCAAGAUUGCAGAACGUGAAAUAAUCAUUAGGGAUACUCACCGUUUUCACCAUUUUCAGGAGGGAUGCUGUUCUUGCGGCGACUAUUGGUGAUUGAUUUUGAACACCAAUCUAAGAAUUAUAUUAUGUCUCGCCCACUCGGAUUCUGCAAGUGAGGAAAUGGAUGAAAUAUUAUAUAACAAUGAGGCCAAGUAGCAAAAAGACGAUGAUGUCAAGGAAGAUUAUUCUUGCCAAGUGCUGCUUCUUCCUGUCUAGUCAAAGCUUAAUGAUGCUCCUCAUGGAGAAGAGGGAAAAGAAAAGAAAGAGGAGACCCAAGAAGAAUGGGACGAAGUGAUGACAUGGAGAACCUUUCUUAGAGUGCCUGCCGUUCUAAAUUCUACAGGGCCCUAACUGAAGAGGCCCGAAACCUGCUGCCAAGCUAGUCCAUUUAGAGACAGAAAGGAUCUCUAGAUUGUCUUUUGGAUUAAUGACGAAUAUAUAAGGACGUAUUCGAAAUGCGGCAGAAUCAGCUCAAUCCUUAUUGCUUAUAAACGAGAUUGUCCCCCAUUUGACCAGUUGGCUAAACAUGGAUAGCUUAAAAAGUGGUAGUAGAUCAUGAACAAUUGAAACUCAUAACAGACAUUGUAUAUAGACGUUAUUUAUAUCACGAAACGCACGCAAUUCAUUUGACCCAGAAAUAAUAAUAAAAAAAAGAAGACGGGCCAUACUUUUGAUCUACAUCCAAUUCUUCGUUUGUUAUUAAAUUAGUGCAUGCUCUGUUCUGUCUUCCAUUUUCUAACAUUUCCCAUGGACGUCUUGGUAUAGUUUCAAAACAGUAUAGAAAGGGGUAACCUUUAACAUUAAUUAGCGAAGAACUUGGGUUGCCACCUAGAAAGUUUCAAGCUACUCCCUUACAGUUACUUGUCUACCUAAUAGCAGGAGCACUAUUGAUUACAACUUGUUUUUAGGCAGUUUAAUGGGGCCAAAACGGCUUUGCAGUCUCAAAAAAACCAUAAAAGAAUUCAAUCCAUUUUUAAAUUAUUUAGAGUUAAUAAUGGGUGAAAUUUAUUAUGCUCAAAAGGCGAGUAUAGUGUAAAAGUUUCAUAAGCCUAAUUUUAUAAAAAUCUCUUAUUCAUGGAUGUAUUAAUUCACUUACACACUUGUAAAUGAGAAUCAGUCACAUACUUAUGAGAAACCAAUAGGUAGAAUCGGGAUGUGUAUUGUUUGAUUGUUUCUAUUUUGUAGUAUUGUAGCGGUAUUUCUUACAAUGGAAGUCUCCAUUUUACGUAUUGAUUGGCCUAAAGACAUCACAUCAAUUAUAAAUGAAUUGCAAUUCCUGGGUUUAGACUUGGUCUACCUUAACCCAUUGGACACGCAUGGUCUCUUUCAGGUCAGGGCUAUAAAUUUUCACCCUCUCCACCAUUUGUGACACACAAAACAAGCACCGCAUCAUUGAAUAAAUAAUCCUACCGUACAAAUGGCCAACCAUUUUUAUUCAUCGCCUCUUCCAAUACUUCUUUCCCUUUUAGCUUUUUCCCUGUGCAAUCCCUCCUAUGGAGGAGGUAUUGCUAUCUACUGGGGCCAAAACGGGAAUGAAGGCACCUUAGCCGACACAUGUGCUUCAGGAAAUUAUCAAUUCGUCAACAUAGCUUUCCUGUCUAGUUUUGGCAAUGGCCAACCUCCAGUUCUGAACCUAGCAGGCCAUUGUGACCCUAGUUCCAACACUUGCACUGGGUUAUCCUCUGAUAUUAGAGCUUGCCAAGGCCAAGGCAUCAAAGUAUUACUGUCUAUUGGUGGUGCUACUGAUACCUACUCUCUUUCGUCGCCUGAUGAUGCAACUCAACUCGCAAACUAUCUUUGGAAUAAUUUCUUGGGUGGCACUUCCUCUUCACGACCAUUAGGUGAUGCGAUUUUAGAUGGUGUAGAUUUUGAUAUAGAGCAUGGCUCAGGCCAAUUCUGGGAUGAUCUUGCUAGGUCGCUUAAAGGGUUCGGUCAAGUUUCCUUAUCCGCUGCUCCACAAUGUCCCUUUCCUGAUGCUCAUUUAAGCACUGCAAUUGACACUGGUCUAUUUGAUUAUGUGUGGGUUCAAUUUUAUAACAAUGGUCAAUGUCAAUACACUGAUAAUGCUAACAAUCUGUUAAAUGCAUGGAAUAAUCAAUGGACUACAAUUCCAUCGAACCAAGUGUUCUUGGGGCUACCUGCAGCUCCUGAAGCUGCAGGUUCAGGAUUCAUCCCGGCAGAUGUGCUUACGUCACAGGUUCUUCCGUCUGUCAAGAAUUCCCCAAAGUAUGGAGGAGUCAUGCUCUGGAAUAAGUUUUAUGACAAUGGAUAUAGUUCAGCUAUAAAGGAUAGUGUUUAAUCAUUCAUGAUAAUGUAUUGAUGUCUUGCUACUCAAUUUUAUACUAAAUAAAAUAAAAGAAGAGUUUCUGAUAGAACUUAGAAUUUGACUUUAGCAACUUCGCUUUCAUCCUUAUGAACGGAUGACUAUAAUUUUUUUGUGCCUUGAUAUGGAUUAAUAUAAUAAGUGGAUUGACAUCAAAAAAAGAAAAGAAAAGGAAGUUAUCAGUCUAAGCUAAUUACAUUACUGCCAUUUUUGACCUUGUUCUGUAAACCCCUUGUGAAUUAUGACAAGGCACCCAUUAUCCCCAUAGGAAAAGUCAGAAUCCAUCAAGGCAGUGUUAAUUGAUAUGUUGAAGAUCACUAAAGCUACCCAGUGAACUCGUAUUUGUCAACACCUAGCUAAUCAAAUACUCUCUCUUUGCCAUAAUUGCCAUUUUAUACCAAUCCAGAAUUGUAUAUUGUCCCACCAUUUUCCUAGUUGACAAUUUGCUUUUGAUAUUUAAUGGUUGGGUGCGUGAUCUCUUGAAAAUUAAAGUUAGAAUAUCUACAGAACAUAUCUUUUGGGAAUUCAAAAGCAAUUUAAAGUCAGAUAAUCCGGCUCCCCUUAGCUAUACAGCAAUGAAAAAUGAAUUAAAAUUCGGUUCGUGGUCGUACCUGGCUUUUAUUUAUUUAGUUUUUUGGUUGGUGCUGGUGUUAUUUUCCCACCACAGCUGCAAUUUCUAUAUAAGAGGCCAUCUACUGGCAUUUUCAGAGACAUUGAGACAUUAACGUUCAUUUACCUACCAUUGACAAUAAUGGCCGGAAAAUUCCAAGCCACUCUUCUCCUUCCUCUAUUAUUACUUUCCCUCAUUAUACCCUCCCGUGCUGGUGGAAUAGCCAUUUACUGGGGCCAAAAUGGCAACGAAGGAACUCUAGAAGCAACAUGUGCUGCAGGGAAAUAUUCUUAUGUAAACAUAGCCUUCCUAAACAAAUUUGGCAAUGGUCAAACCCCAGAAAUCAACCUUGCUGGCCAUUGCAACCCAGCUACCAAUGGUUGCACCAUUAUCAGCAAUGGCAUCAAGAGUUGCCAAAAGAGAGGAAUUAAAGUGUUGCUUUCUCUUGGAGGUGGCAUCGGGAGCUAUACCCUGGCCUCUCAAGCUGAUGCGAAAAACGUAGCAGACUAUUUAUGGAACAAUUUCUUAGGUGGGAAAUCUUCGUCUCGCCCCUUGGGUGAUGCAGCAUUGGAUGGUAUUGACUUUGACAUAGAGCAGGGUUCCACCCUGUACUGGGAAGAUCUCGCCCGUUAUUUAUCUGCAUAUAGCAAGAGAGGCAAGAAGGUUUAUUUAGCAGCAGCUCCUCAAUGCCCAUUCCCAGAUAGAAACUUAGGAACUGCCCUUAAUACUGGUCUUUUUGACUAUGUAUGGGUUCAGUUCUAUAACAAUCCUCCCUGCCAGUAUAGUUCAGGUAACAUUGACAACAUUAUUAAUUCAUGGAAUCGAUGGACUGCAUCUAUAAAUGCAGGAAAAAUAUUUCUGGGUUUACCAGCAGCCCCACAGGCAGCCGGAAGCGGGUAUAUUCCACCAGAUGUGCUGACUUCUCAAAUUCUUCCGCAGAUAAAGACGUCACCUAAGUAUGGAGGUAUUAUGCUAUGGUCAAAAUUCUGGGAUGAUCAGAAUGGAUACAGUUCCUCCGUUCUGGAUAGUGUAUGACAAUUGGAAAUUCUGAGUUAGAAUUUACCCUUUGCUUGGUCUAAUUGCCAAGUAUGCGGAUCAAUUAAAUCAAUCUUGAUUGACAAAUUCAAUACAGAAAUUGUGGUUUGACUUUUUCUUGUAGCUCGAUCUUGCACAAUGGCAUUUGUUUAAGAGCAGAUACUUAGAUUUGUGGGGCCUCGAUUUAGCCUGCUUUAAGUUGAUUUUAGUUUUUGUACAACAUAAUAUGACUUUUGGCAAUCCUCCCGCACAGUGGUAAUUCGUAUGCUAAACUAUAAAUUUUCAUUCAACUUCCAUUUCUUCUAAAGCAUCAUAUAACACGUGCUUUAAAUAAUCAAGAAACAGAAAAAACAAAAAUAAACCAUUUAAGAAACAAACCAGUUAAACCUAGAAAGUGGAUAAACUGAGCUACAUAUAAUGCCAAACUUGUAGCGGAAAACAAAUCACUAGAGCACAGGAAAAUCCUCCAUAAAUCCUGCAUCAUAUCUUUCCUUCGUGUCUACACUUUCCUGACCUGAAUGUUGUGAGUAGAUUGGAAUCGCCAGAUUGGCUGUCUGCCACUCUGAACAAGAGCAACUUCCUCUCCUUCCUUUACCAUCCCUUGGUUCUGCAAAUGAAAACCCAUAAAUGUAUUGUUUUAACCUAAAAGAAUUACUCUAAUACUCUGAAAAACAUUCAUCGACAAUAACCACUGCAAUUUCAAGGAAAUCUAAUUGGAGCAGUGAACUUUAGUUCCUAUAAUCACACAGCCGCAGUCAACAUAAGCAUAUUCUAAAUAUCGCAUAUGGCUCAGAAUGGCAGAUGUUAUCCAUUAGAUAAGGGCACAAAAUGGUUAUUCUCCAGAGAAUGCCUCUCACAGAUAAGGUCUGCUGUUUGACAAAUCAUAAGAUUGGCUGGUCAUCAAGUGUUUGCCCCAUGAAGGAGGUCAGUCUUAAUCUUAGCUAUAGAAAAGAAAAAACUCAGCCAAAUUUUGAUCCUUAAGGCCUGCUACAUCCCACAGCUCUUCCAGAACUAUGAAUCUAUCUAGCAGGAUACCUCCAUAGAACUACUCCAAACUGGCCAUAUGUCAAUUUUGAAUAAAUUGACGUCAGCAAUGUGUAACAAUGAAUAAGGCUGUUAUGACCAAUUAAAUAGUCACAUUUUGUGGGGCUUGCUAUCACUUGAAUCGCUUCAGCUUCUAUUAUAUUACAAUUACAUUAGUCAUUAGAGCAGUAAUCAUUAUAACCACUAUAACAAUUAAAAUGCUGGCUAGAUAUAAAGAUUUGAUGGAAUUAUCAUAUUAAAACCUACCUUGAGCACUGAUAAGGCAUUUGCAAAGGUUUCUUCAGCAUCAUCUGAAAAUUGCAUGUAUAUGGGACAUACUCCUUGGUAUAGAGCCAGUCUCUGUUGUAUUCUCUUCCUGCAUGCCCGUCAAAAAAGUAAUGUGAUUAGUGAAACUGAAACACCUAUUCAUUAGAGACUUUCAUUUUUAUACGGGCAGCAUUCUUUUUUCUUUCUUUCUUUCUUUUUUUCUUUUUAUGAGAAAAUAAAUGGUUUUUAUUUCAUAAGUAGAUUCAAACCUCAGUAAGUAUUCAACUCAACAAUUGAAUAUUUUAACAGGUACUGAGAUAUCUAUAUUCAGAAAGAACAGGACAGCCGAGGCCGCUGAUCCAGAAUAAAUGAGCAAAAAGAGUCUGUUUACAUCACUGUUUUUUAAUGCUUACAACUGGACAUGGUUCAAUAUUCAGUAUUUCCUCAGGCAAGAGCCAGAGUAACUGAAGAGUAUUUGAAAUUUAGCACAAGAAACUCACUCAUUUGUGAAUGCAAAAAUAGUGCCAGAAGGUCGAUAAUGGCUCAAUAAUAUAGCCAUGAAGCCUGUCCUGGUAAAGACAACAAUUGAGGUUCCAAGUGUGUUUGACAUCAUGGUUGCGUGAUAUGCAAACAUCUCGCUCAUGUGGUUCUGCAAGAAAAAAAGGAAGUUCGUAGUAAGCAUUCAGUAAAACUAAAAUGAAGUGAAAGGAGAAAAGGUAAAGGAGAUAAUAAGAGUAAUUGUCAGGAACCUUGAAGGCUUGUCCAAGAUUUGGUGGCAUUGUACCACCAACUAUGGUUGCUUCAGUUCGUAAUGCAACAGUAUGCAUUACUUUCACAGCUUUCAAUGGGAACCUGCAAGUAUAUGAGAUGGCAUUAUUAAAAACUUUUGAAGCGUAAUUUCAAGUAUCAACACCACCAAAACCCACUUACUUCCCAUGAGCAGUUUCUCCAGAAAGCAUGACUGCAUCAGAACCCUCCCGAACAGCAAUAGCAAUGUCAGAUACCUCGGCUCGGGUUGGAGUUGGAUGAACUAUCAUGCUUUCCAGCAUAUUUGUUGCCACAAUAACAGCUUUCCCCAUACUCCGACACAGUCUGAUUAUUUCUUCCUAUCAUUAGAAAGUAGAGAAUUACUUAAUUUCAUGUCUAUACAUAUACAUAGCCUCUAACAAUGAUGCCAUCCAGUCACCAGUAUGUAAGAAACAAAACUACCUGCAAGAGUGGAACCUCCUCGAUAGGAAGCUCUGCACCAAGGUCUCCUCUUGCAACCAUUGCCUAAACAAGAAGAACACAUAUCACUCUCAGUAUAUAAUGAAUGAUGAAAUUUCUUCAUACCGACUCUGAUCCAAAAAGAUUAUGGUGAUAUGAACACUUAAACCAAGUAGAUACUUCAAACCAUGAAACAUUAGAAAUUUCAGAUUUUUGACAAAUCAAAAUUCAUAAACUCAUGCAGUCACAAGGACAUACACACCCAAAACAUAAACUUGUACAAUCUUAAAAGAAUAGAAACUUGCAGUGAUAUCAAGUUAUCCUCGAAAGCAAGGAAUUAGAACACAAAUGCUAUCAUAUAUACAAGUAUCAAUAUUUAAAAGAUACUUUUUGACUUGAUAAAAAACUAAUCAAAACAAUUGAGAGCUACAAAAAGAAGUUCCAUCAGACAUAUUAGCAGCUAAAACACAUUAUGCAAAGAUCAGAUUGUUACCCCAUCAGAUGCUGUGAUUAUUGAAUGCAGAUUUGGGAUAGAAUCUGCACUUUCAAUUUUCACAAUCACAUGUAUGUCUGCACCACAGCCUGCCCAAGUAAAAGAAAAAAAAUCAUGCAUGUUAAAUUUUAGCUAGUUAUCAUGCAGACCCAUAUUAAUAUUUUAAAGAAAAGAUCAAUAACAUUACCUUGCAAAUAAUUCUUUAAUUCAUGAACAACCUGUGCAUCUUUAACAAAGGAAACUGCAUAGAAGUCUACCUUAUUGUCCACUCCAAAUUUUAUGUCAUCCCAAUCCUUUUCUGCAAGAAAAUAUGUAAACUUCUAAGUUCAUUCACAAAAACAAGCAAAAUCUAAAAUAAAUUGGUACAGCGUUAGGGAAACUAUAAAUGAUGUCAGGUCGAACCAGUGAUGGAAGGCAGUGUCGCGCUUUUUCCUCUAACAUUCAAAUGACGCCUAGACUUUAGUUCUCCUCCAUCAAUUACUUCACACCUCACUGAAUCUUCUGUCUUGGACUUCACCAGAAGUGACAUCAUACCACCUACACCAUAGAUCAAGAGUCAGACACACGGAUAAAUAAAACAAGUAGACCAAAUGAAUUAUGAAAAUUAAAUAUUCCCUCUUUCGGGUGCCAACACUUCAACCAUUGCCUAUUCUACAAAACAAGAAUAAAAAAAAUACCACGUACCAUCAACAAGAAGCAUGUCACCAACUUCUACAUCAUUAACAAAAUCAUCAUAGUUAACACUAACGCAAUCAGCAGUGCCAACCCCCCUACGAAUUGUAAAAGUAAAUUCCUGUCCAGGUGAUAACAUGAUCGGUUGAGGCAAGUCGCCACUCCUAACUUCAGGACCCUAAUAACAACCAAAACAAAAUUAAAUAAUUAAGGCAAUAACAGUUAUAAGUUAUGAGGAAACCACAAUAUCUAACAAGUCUGUUUCAUAUUAACACUAAGUUUAGUUACAUUUUGGUCAAUUCAGAAGUGUGUGACUGUAACUAAUUGUAAUAUAAGAAAUAAGUUAAGUAACCUGCCUUAGUGUCAAGCAUGAUAGCAAUGACAUUAUCUUUGGACUGUGCAUUAUAUUCUUUAACUAAAUCUAUAACUUUCUGAUGAGAUGCAUGGUCUCCAUGAGACAUAUUCAGUCGAGCUACGUUCAUUCCUGCUUCAGCCAGCUUCCAAAUCAUCUCCCUCGUGUUUGUUGAUGGACCUAUGGUGCAUACAAUCUUUGUCUUCCGUCUAACUACAGGCUUGGACCACAUACUCACUGAUGUGUCGCCUAAUUGCUGUAAAUGCAAUACCUGCUCCUCUCUCUGAUAAUAAAACAGAACUCAGUUAACAAUUCCCAAUCACCAAAAAACAAUCUAAUAUUGUAAUAGAGGAUCUAAUUACUUGGCCACAUAAGCAAUUUGAUCAAUCAAAAUUAACUUCAGCACAGCGUUUCUUCGGUUACCAGAUCUCAAAUUACAUUACAGUUACGGACCUGCGGUACAUCCUCAGGCGAUACAGGAAUAACUUCAGUUUCGACACGUGUGGAUCUGUUAGCAGCUUGGAUUUGAGUGUUUCUGCGAGAAAUUGUAAGGCUGCUGUUCUUAUUUCUCUUGUUGUCUUCGCGUGACAGUAACUUUGACGCAAAACUUGAAGGCUUUAGCUUAUCUGCCCGGUCUUGCAGUGAGGAUCCAGAGGUAGGACACAGCAAUGAAGUGUGAAUCGAUCUGGUAGCCACAACUUGAGCCAUAUCAAUUUAGGAAAAAGAAUGCUACAAAGAAAUUUUCUGAGAGAACUAACUCUAUUGAAAGAAACUAAAAGCCUCUCUGUGUUUCCUUUAAAAAGGUCAGGAACAGGAAAGAGAGGUUGGAGAAGUCGCCGCUAAAUUUGGCGGAAAUAGCAAGAGAGAGAUAGAGAGAGGCGGAAUAAAAAGAAAGCAGCGCGAGGGAGAAGCUUAGUUUGUAUCGAAGGAUUUUGGGUUUUAUUUUAGUUUUGACUUAUUUUCCGCUAAACUUAUUUAUUCAAAACUGUUUCGGCAACUAUAAGAAGCGGCGGCGUUUGAGAAACACAUUUUAUUUUUAUUUUUAUUUUUUGAGUUUUUGUUUUUUUCCGUUUGCCUGCAUGGAAAGCACAUUCUUACCUACCAAAGCUACUUUCUACUUCUUAAUUGCUUUAUUUUCACUAUGUUUCUUUACGGGGCGUAUUGGAAAUUAUUUCCUAACUCCUUGAGCACGAACUCUGGUCUGUACGUUUGUGGAAAAUAUUUAUACAACAAAGCUGUCAUUUUAUCAUUAAGGAACAAUAAAUAAUUAUAAUUAUAUAUUUUUUACAAGUUACUGUAGGCAGUAAUUUUUAUUUAUGAUUAUACAUUGGUCAUGAUUGAUUUUCUGUUUUUCAUACCAAUAUAAUAUUAAAGUUUUCUAUAAGCAAUGAAAUUAUAUUAAUAUCAAACAAGGUUAAUUGACUUACUUAACUUUAUCAAGUUUUAGAAUCUCUUUAUUAAAAUUUCUUUAGAUAUUUUAAUCUUUCCCCACUAAAAGUUUUAUAUUAAUAAUUUAUCCGUCUUGCUUAUAUUUUGGCAUUUAUAUGAUAAAAUGAAAUGUAUGCCUCUCUUAUAUUAUCAUAAUUCUAUAAUUAUUAAUUCCAAACUCAGUACUAAUAAAAGAUUAAAAUUAGACUUAUAUUUUCUAUAAUUAUAUUAUAUAAUAAUUUUAGUUUAUGAUUUAUUAACUCAUACUCUUAAUUCUAGUAUAUAAAUUAUCAAAUAAAUUUUUAUAUAAUAUUUUAAAAAAAUUUAUAAAAUUUAUCGAAUUUAUUUACAAGUCUAAGUUUUAUAUAAUUUGAAGGAAAUAGAAAUUAAUUUAAAAUUAUGUGCAAUUAAUUAUGACAAAAUUAAAUUUCAAUAAAAUAUGUAGAAUCUUCAAAUAAAUUUUAUAUUAAUUUGACAAUAUAUUCCACAACACUAAAAUAUUUCUUUCAAUUUUAUCAUUUGUAUUUUUUUCACAUUUAUUUUUCAAAUGCAAUAAAUUUUUGAAUGCAUUUCAAUCAAAUAUAUAAUAUGAAUUGAGCUUUGAAUAUAAUAUUACAAUAUAUAAAUAUUCUGUAAUUGAUCUUUAAAUACCUAAUCUGUACAUUUUGAUGGAGAAAUUGGUGAGACUAAAUGAAAAUUGGAAAAAGGGAAAAAAGGAAAAAUAAGAGGAAAGGUCUGAGGGGUAAAAAGACUAUUAUUUGUGUUUCAAGUUUCAAACUGUUCACUUCUAAGUUCAUUAGGUUUUUAAAUUAUUUUUACGUUAAUUAUUUGGAAACUGACAUUAUAUAUUAAAAUUUAACUUACAACAAGGUUUGCAGCAGUCAACAGUUUAGAGAUAUUAUCGAUUAAUUUGAACUUUUAUCGAAAUCUUUAUUUAAAGAAACAGUAUAUUACUUACCAUGUAGUUAAAAGAAUAUUACAGUUUCAACUUCUAUUAUCUGUUAUUCUCGAUGGGCCAAGAAUUUUAUAGUUGGGCCGCACCUAGAAAAGGAAUAAUUGGAUUAGCGUAAAUAUUACGAACACGAGUAGUAGUGUAUCAAUGGAGGCGGCCCAAGCUCUCCAUACCACUCUGGCUAAUAUCAUUAUGCCACAUCAUCGGUUACAAUAAAUUCUCGCAGUACCGACAGCACCUAAUCUCCCAUUCAGCUCCACAUUUACACUCAAAAGCGCGGGAAAAUUGUCAUCUCCAUUCGCGCCACAAAAGCCCUAAUCACAUUCCCAACUUCUCUGGUCUCUAAUUUUACGAUUAUCGCAGUUUACUAUCAGAUCCGAUCUCCAUCCCACCUUAUUCCCCACAAUAUUUUCAAAUUCUUAAGUCGAGUCAAUUUGGAAAUGCAAGAAUUGUCACUGAUCUGUGCCGGUCUCGGCGACGAAGAGGAGGAUAAUGGAAAACGUAUCGGUUACUCGAAAGGCGAGAACUGCCUAGGUAAAUUUCAGUCGCAAAUCCUCGUCAUUAAUUAAUUAAUAGUCUGUUUGUUUGACAAGAAAUUUGAAAUUCAGGAAAUGAUAAAUUUGUUGAUAUGUACACAGAAAAUUUAAAGGAUUUGCUUAGAUGUUUAAGGCGCGAUGAUCCAGAAACACGAGAAGUAUUUAAGCAAGUAUGCAAUUGGAAGGUCGUGUCCAAGGAUUUGAUUCCGAUUAUUCAAUACUGUCAAGUUGAUCGAAGCUUAGUCUUAAAUGCAGGUAAUUACAGCUUUUUCUUUUUCUUUUUUUCUUUUCUUUUUUUGUUAAUAAUGGUAGGGACAUCUGAUAAAUUUGUUGAUUUCUAUAAUAUUUCAGUGAAGGUUUUGGUGUUUCUUACGAUGCCAAUUGAGCCUUCAUCAAAUGAUAUUCUUCAGCAGACAGAGUACCUUUGGGACUUGAAGUCAGCAAUCACAUGUAGUGAUACUGUUGGAGUGAUUAUUUCAUUACUUGAAGAUCCACUUGAACAUUUGGAACGGUAACGGACAUUCUGAUUGGUUAUUAAAUCAUUAUGGUUUCACUACAUUUGCGAUACGCUCCAUAGUUCCAUUUAUAAAAAAAGUUAUUUUCCACAGUGAAGCAUUCACAGAGGACGACUGGAAAUUGGUCCAGCUGGUACUCACGCUCUUUAGAAACAUUCUUGCUAUACAAGAUUUUUCCCUGCUGCAGAAAGUUGGGGGAUCUGCUAGUCAUCUUUUGUCGCUAAGAGAUAGGUUUUUGGAACUUAUGUUUCAUGAGAAUGUAAUGGACCUUGUUCUAAUUAUCACUCAGCAUGUCUGUAGUUCUGGCUACCUUCGUCAAGAUAACUUAUUGUUAUUAGAGAUUUUCCAUUAUAUUUUCAUGGGUCAAGAGCCAGAGUUGAUUGCCAAAGCACAAAUAAAGGAUUCGAAGGUUGGUCUGUCUUCAUUUGCUUUUUAAUUAUCAUCUUUUUCGAGUAAGUUGAGAAUUUUUUGCCACAUUAAGGAAGAAAAUCAAUAACAGGAAAAGAAGAAAUUAGCUUGAAUACUUAUUUGUUUUGUAAUUUUGAUAUUGGAUUUGGUAGCGGGGUGGGGAGACUUCACUUGAUAGUCUCAAGUCUAUUAUGGAAGCUGAAGAAGAGAAAAGAAGAAAGCUUUCCAGGCAACGGAAUAUAGGGCGUCAUUCACAAUUUAGCGGAACAUUUACACGGCUUACCAUGGUAUGUUGUUACAGUGUAGGUGAUGCUUUUCUGGGGAUUUGUACUACUUUCUGUAACAUAAGUGGUUGUCUUCAGGAUGGUUCUAAAGCCGUAUACAAAGGAAACCCUAGUUCUGCUUCUCAUAAUGUCCUGCUUAAACCUCAUAAAAUUCAUAGGAGUUCAACUAAAAGGAUUGUGUGGGACCAUGGGAGAUUACCUUCAAUGAAGGAUGAUAUUUUGGUUUUGCUGCACGAUUUUCUGAACCAGUUUUUAUCGGGGGGCUAUAAUGGUAUUUCUUCUGGAUUUAGAAAUCCUUGCUUUAUCUUUUUUUUUUUUUUUUGGUUUGUGUAUCUCUGAUUAAUACACAACGAAAACUAAAUGAUUGACAGUUUUAAUGCGAUCAAUUUCCGAGGACAUUGAAAAGGAGCAUCAUGCAAUUCAGAAUAGUGACAUUGUCAUUUUCUUUAAGGUUGCUCAGUUUGUUACUUCUUUUCAGUAUCACAAGUUUUCAACUUUCAAGGUGAGUUAAACAAGUUUCUAUCUCUUUUAUUUUGUUACCUACAGAUAUGGAUGCCAUGGCUACAGCCACUUUUUUUUUUUUUAUAUAUAUUUCUAAAUAGAUUUCUGUUUGUUGUUUAGUGUGGCCUUUUUGUACUUUUCCUGAAUUCCAAUUUCGCCGAAAGCUUUUGCUUUGUAAUAUUCUUUUGGUCUGUGUUGUUAUGAAUAUCUGUAUCAUAUUAUCAAUCAUGCUAACCAAACAAUUUUUUUGUCAUUUUUGCUUAAAGACCAUAAGGGGUUUUGAAUAUUUCAUCUACGACUCACAAUGUAGUUCAGCUUAUAUUUGGUUUGUAACUUGUGAUAUGCCCAAUUGAACUAAUGAAAAAGUAGGUUUGCCCCUCUCCUUCGUGCUUGAUCAUGAUUCUGGUAAUUCAGGCAACACCAUAUCUUAAUCUAAGGGGUAUAUCACUCUAGUCUCUGUAUUCCAUAAUACCUGGAACUAUGGUUGUUAAUUUUUUUACAUAUUAAAUUUUCCAUAUGAUAUUUGGUUUGCAAUAAAACUAGAUUUGGUCAUCUUGUUUGUUGAAUAAAGCCAAAUAAUAUUUCCGUUGUUUUUGGACUGCAUAUGAAAGAAAAAGCAUUUGAUAAAAAUUCGGCACAUAUAUUUUGUUUAGUGCAAAGUUGCAAUACCAAAAAAUAUGAUGACAUUACCUCCUAGAUUGGAAAACUAAAAGAUACAUUAGAUUGCCUUUUCUUCUAGAGGUUAUUCUGAAAAAAAGGGACCAAAGGUUUUUGACCCGCGAUAUGCCGCUCUCGUGCUGUAGAGAUGUUCCUUCAUGGCAAUAGAGAUCUGAAAUGUCAGUAACAAAAAUGUAUAUAAUCGAGUUUUGAAGGAUUUGUUGCAAUUUUUCACAUGUGAAAUUAAAUUCUUGAGAAAGAUUCUGGAUAUCUAGAUUGCUUAAAAAUGGCGCUGCCGGAAAUCUAUGUACGCAAGUCAACAGCAGUAGACCUUUUGAUUGAAAAGCUACAGAUAUUAUUUAUCCAAAUUUUUUCCGUAUCUGUGUGCUAAGUGAUGCAAUUUUGUCUUAGUUUAUGUUCAUAUACCAGUUUUCGUCAUCAUUCUUUUUUCCUAUCUUUGAUACGAUUCAGCAAAUUGUGGAUGUUUUUCUUUCAACAGCCACCAAACGUGGAAAAAGAUGAUUCUCACAGCUUCCCUGAUGAAUACGUUGAUAACACAUUAUUCAAAGGCGAUGUAUGUGGACCAAUCGCAGCAUCAAUGAAUGAAUCAAUGUUUCUACUGGUCAUUUCAAGAUGGAGAAAUGCUUUUGAUGGCCUGAAACAGACAAAUGACUACAAUUUUCUAUCUGCAGCAGGCUCUCUUAUGAGAAUUAUGGUAAAUCAUACUUAUUUUGAUUCUCUCUCACAAAACAACAAAUUGAACUAUUUUCAACAAUUGUAACUGGGGUUUGUUGAACAAAAGUUUCUUAAAUUUGACAAGGUCUUCCAAGACGUACUUUACUAGAGUAAAAGAAAAGAAAGAGGUAAUUUUAUGAUAUAAAAUAGAUGCUGAGACUCUUCAAUUUUCGUGACUUCUUUUACUGUAGUCAAUGUCCAUUCUGGAGUUGAACAUGUUUUAUAACGAGAUUUUCUUUUGGCCCGUUAUAGAGAAGCACCACGAAAGCCUAUAAUUCAAUGAAGUUAAUUCUAUUGAAGCAAGGAUAAAAUUUGCGGUUACGUUAAUCUAGUAUCUUUUCUAAAUGUCUUCAUAAUUUUUUUGUUAAAAAUGAUAUAAUGGUAAAUAGGUGCUUAAGUUAUUACUUCUCUUUUGUGCAGAUUCGCAUGUUAGAUUUGGUGCUUAAAUCAUUGCCUGAAGGUUCUAAGGAGUCUCAAACAGCUCGCAUACUGCUUUACAAGUUAUUCUACGAUCAAACUGAUCAAGGAAUGACUCAGUUCCUCUUGAGCCUGAUAAAAUCAUUUGACACUCAUAAACAACCCAAAAGGUUUUUCCUCUUUCUUUAACAAGACCCAAGGAUUCUUUCUUUUCCAUUUCAUGGAUAUUUUCUCUAGAUUGUGGAACUAUGUACUAUGAACUAUUAGAGUGGGGAACUACAAACUUUGUAUUGUAGAGUAAAAUAUUAUCAAGGUAAGUUUUGUUUUAGGAGAUUUAUCAGGAAGUUCUUACCUAAUAAUUUUAUGUUUAACUGCACGAGAUUUUAUCCACUUUUGCAGGACUUGUAGCUAACGUUUCCUUGCUGCCAUGCACGUGUUUACUAGAUUUCUCUAAAUCUAUUUUUCACUAAAAUUGGAGAGGAAGCAUUGAUCAUUAUUAUGCAUACAUCAUUUGCAACUUUUCAUUUAAAACUGACUCAUGAAUUUGAUUGAAACCCACUUGUUAUCACUUUUCCUGUAUCUCUAUCAAAGAUUUUUGUCUAGUCAUCUAAUUGCAUUUUCCUUUGGAAUCCAAACAUUCCUCAAUACCUAUUUCACAUGGAAUGUUUAAAUAACCAUUUAUUUCAAGUUACUCCCCAAUCUUUCUAUUUGUGUUAUAUUCAUUAUUCUUCUUGUCAGUGAUCUUGCAGAUCUGGUGGAAAUGAUUCAUCUAAUUGUGAGAUUGAUGGAGAAUCUUCAAGCACGUGGCGCAUUAAGGGUAAAAAAUUUCAUUUCUAGUUCUCUGCAAGAUUGUAUUAAACACAAAUUCAUCAAUGCACUAUGCAGCUGGAAACAGAGCCAUUGUAAGAGGAAUCCUCUAAUAAAUAGUGGCCGUUCUGAUACAGUAAAGUCAUUGACUUUGUUGUGCCACCUGUUCAGAAAAAUUAAAGAUGUUAUUCAGUAUAAUUUAACUGGAAUUGGUAGUGCAAUUUGUCAUGUCCAUAUAUUUCUCUUGUUUCUGUAGAAAAUAACGAUUUGUAGGGAAUGUAAUUUAAUGCUACUUGAGAUUUUAUAAGGCCAUCUAAUUCAUGGGCUCAAAUUUCUGUUAACUACAUUAACUGAUUAGACUGUUAUACUGUGUUCUUCGAAUCUGUUUGUGGUCUUGUAUCUUUGGUGCAAUACCAGGCUACCUGGGCUAUUCUUCAGAUAUUUCUGAGGAUGGAUAUGUGAAGCAAUCCUUUAUCCCCUGGUGAACUUGGGCAUGCAUCAUGUUAUGUGUUUACUUUGCAGAAUCACUGCUUUGUCUGCUAUUUCUGUUUCUCUGAGAUGUUUUGUCGGUUUCUGUUGCAGCGUAGCUUUUUUAUUUUUAUAAAUUUAGAAUCUCUAGUCUGAGAAGAAUAUUUGUUAUCUAAUCAAAAGUGACAUUUUUUUUUCAUAAUUAAGGUUUCUAAGAAAUCGAGGAAGGUUAGAAAGAAGAAAGCACUGGGUAGCAAGAGGGGAACUGAAAAUGAACUGUCCGGAGAUGGAACAAAGAUUCAAGAUCAGACACUGUCUUCUAAUACUGAACAAUCUAUUGAUUUGAGCAUUUUGCAAAAGAUAAACGAAGAGAACUCAACUUCUGAUAAUCAAGAAAACAACAAUAUUGCUGUUCAAGAUAAUCAAGACAACGUCGCUGUUCAAGAUAGUCAAGAAAAUAUCAAUAAUGCAAUUCAACCUGAUAAGACUGAGAUAUCUGCACAGGAUAUUGGAAAUUUUGGCAGGAAUCUGCCUCCGAUGGAUAAGAGAAAGAUUGAUCAUAUCGAUGAUGAUCUUACUGGCAGCUCUGAUGAUUCAUCUAGUGAUGAGGACCUCAUUGAGACUCAUGAAGUUGAUUUUAAGGUCUCAAGCUUUGUAUCAACUUUUGCAAAUCAUAACAUCAUUCGGAACUUGUGCUGGUUGCUCAGGUUCUACAAGAGUAAUUCCACCAAUACAAAUCACUACAUCGUAUGCAUGUUGCAGAGGAUUACUGAUGAUUUGGAUCUUUCUCCAAUGCUUUAUCAGGUUAAAUCAAAAAUUUACUUACCCUUCUGAUUAUCACAUCAUUAUCACACAUCACUCAUGUGAUAUCAUGUUUUGAAAAAUUUGUGCAGUUAUCACUACUUACAACAUUCUAUGACAUCCUCGAUGAGCAAAAGUCAUGUCCAUGCAAGGAAUAUGCGAGUAUUGUUGAUUUUUUGACAACCUUAAUUCGAAGAAUGCUACGAAAAAUGAAGAGCCAACCCCUUCUAUUUGUAGAAGUUCUUUUUUGGAAGUCCCGUAAAGAGUGCCAUUAUAUUAAUGCUGAAUAUUUAUUGCAUGAGCUUGGCCAUAUGAAGAAAGAAGCGAAAAGCUGGGGUAAUGUUUUGGCGGAUGGAGAACUGGGUUCAUCACAAGCAAAGGGAUGGGUUCCCAGAAGCAUAGCAGAUGCUCUGGGUGAGGAUGAAGCAGAUGUUGUGAUCGCUCAUGAACCAUAUCAGAAGUGAGACAUGUUCUUUUCUGUUUUCCUGAUUUAGCUAAUGCAUAAGCUACUCAGUGAUGGAAGUUUAUAAAGUUUAUUUGGGUGGUUAUGGGAACUUCAUAGAAGUUUCUUAGGUUUGCUAAUGGUUGACCUCAUGGAAAAUGGCAUGUUCUUUAAUACAUUGAAAAUCUUCUUGAUAUGCUAGAGGUACUUCUUAAUUAUGAACAUUACCAUUUCUUUUCCAGGAUGAGAGAAAGUUUCGAUGGAGCGGAGAGAGAUUUUUUUCUAAAGAACAACAAUGACAAGAAAAGAGAUUCUGAUUAGUAUGACAUUGUGGACAACUCUAAAGAUUACUGUUCUCUAUUUCCUUUCAAUUUUGGAAGUGUUAACUUUUCCUAACCUUACUGUCUUAUAAAUUGGCUUGUGCAGCGGAGGAAAUGCCAUGGAACCUGCAACUGAAGGGGUUUCUAAAAGAAGAAGACUUGUUCUUACUGAUGAAAUGGAGAUGAGAAUAAAAGAACUCCAUGAGAAGUAAGUAUUUCCUGGUAACAGUUAAACUGAAAGGAUCACGAGUAUUUCUUUCUGAGGUUAUAAUACAUCUAUGUGUUUAUGAUAGAUGCAGGAAUGAUGUUUCUCUUAGUUUUCUAUCAUGAGUUAAUUGUGUAGGCUGUCUUGCCACCCACAGCCCUCCUUUUCUGUAGCUUCUAAAAUUGUUCACUGCAUCUAUUUCGGCUACUAAAAUUUCUGCAGAUACAAGGAUGACGGGAGUUGUGUUCGUCUUAUUGCGGAAUCCCUAGAUCCUGCUGGUCAUGUUUCACCUGCACAAGUUUUCAACAAGCUCAAGCAGCUAGGGUUAAAAGUAUCAUCAAAGAAAAGACUGAGAAAUGUUGACAAAGAAUUUUCUACUUUUCCUGAUCAGCUUGUGGAAAACGGAAGGUCCACCGGAGAAGGUAGUAGUGGUCUUCAAAACUCAAUUGAUGUUGAAGAAACAUUGAAAAGGUAUCAUAUUUUACUUCUUUCUUCUUUCUAUAUUCAAGGUUUAUACCUUUUAUUGUGCAACUUUGAAUCUUUUACUCUUGAACUUGGUCUAAACUUUGAAGGCAUGAUAAAAGUGUAUGCUAAUACCUGAAGCUCCUAUAAUAUGGUUUUCUUUGCCAUUCAGGUUGAUAUGCUUAUGCCUUACUUUUUAACAGGAACACCAGGAAAAAAGUUCGGGCCUUUAGCAAAGAUCAAGAGGAAAUUAUUAGAGCUUUAUUUGAGCAGUGAGUAUCUGAUAUAUGUUAAAAUCUGAUAUACUCCAGAUUAAUCCUGUUUAUUGUUUUCAUGGUAAAAUCUAAAUUUCAUCUCCACCUUAUAGAUUCAGCCACACAAAUUAGCCAUUGCUCUCUCUUUCAGUUAUUUGAUAAUCUUACAACUUAAAAAGAGCUUUACUUUAUGGAGCUGGAUCUCCAUGUGGUAAUAUGUCUUUAACUUGGUUUUGUUUACUAUGCUCAGGUUUAAAGAGCAUAAAAGAUGCAGCUAUAUGAUUGCAAAUGCACUAGCUGCCGAUAAUUCUUUUACAGCUGCACAAGUUUCCCGAAAGCUCAAGCAACUUGGAUUACACAUUCCUCGGCAAAGGAGAUCAGAAACAAAAUUGCAUUUAAGAGAUAAGGAGCUAAAUGACUUUUCUGUCGGAGAACAGGUGUCUGAUGAUGAAACAUUGUUAUCAUUGAGGAAAAGGUAUGUACACCUUCAAGCUUUGGACUGUGGGAAUUCUUUUAGGAGUUAAUCUCACCUCAUGAUAUAUGCUAACUAUUUUCCUUAUUUUGCAUGCAUAGGCUUGUACUGCCUGAGUGUGUAUUUAUUGAAAUUGUGGAGUCUCUCCUCCAUGAGAAGUUGCUAGUAAUGAUGGUCUGGAAUUUUUAAUUAAAUGGAAAAUUCAGAGACCACUAAGUUAAUUGGAAUGUAUUCUUAUCUAAACUUGCCUCAUUUGAUUUUGAUGAAUAUAGCUCUAUAAUCAUUAUGUUUGUUAUAUAUAGCUUCGUCUCCAUUGGCUAAAGAGCGAUGUUUGCUUCAAUAUGUUGAUGUGUUUGAAGUAUGUGUACAUGUUCUUUGAUUGUUUGAAAUGUAGCCUGCUUGCUUUAAUUCGAAGUGCCUAUGUGAUUGUUUUCAUGAUCUUACGAUGUACUAGUUUCUGAUUUGCUCUAUCCCUCUAUUUGUUACACUGUUUCUCCAUCCAUCUACGCACUGUUUCUCCAUCCAUCUACGCACUGUUUCUCCAUCCAUCUAUGCACUGUUGAGUAUUAAUCAGCUUUGUUCAGUCCAGCAGCAUUUUCUUUAGUGAUUUGCUGUUAAUUUCUUAAGUGGUAGCCUGUAUCUUAAAGUUAUUUUCAAAAUAUAUAUUGUAAAGAUUAUAUUAUAUCAUGAAUUUAGUUGAGCUAUAUUUGGUUGAAAUUUAUUAAAAGAUUUAUUUUAUUUGAGAGGUAAAAUAAAAUAAAAGCAAUAAAAUUGAAAGAGAUACUUUAAUAAUUUUACGAUUUCAACGAAAAAUAAUGUUUUAUUUAAAAUCAAAAUUACUUUAAACCACACUGAUGUUUUUCAAACUUCUUCCUUUUUCUAAUGUAGAGAAAGAAUUAAGCAUGGUGGCAGAUCAUUUGAUGAGUUGUCCAACCACAGCAUAGAAGGAGAGUUUUCUGGCGAUUCUGAUGAUGAAUUACUAAGCUCAUUUCUCAAGUAUCUCUUCUUCUUUUCUCUCUUUGGGUGGGACAGAGUGCGGUGUGUGUCAAGGGAAAAUGUAGAAUGAGCUCUAUUGCUUGACAUGGCCAAUUAUUUGUAAUGCUCACUUGUUUCCUACCGUUGAUACUGAUAAAAUUUCUAUCUUUUUUAGUUUAAUUUCUUUUUAUUCUCUAGUUUGGGUCGAACUGAAGUUAACUUUCAUAAACCUUUCUUUUCUUUUCCCUUUCGUUGAGGAAAGGACUUGGGUUUCAGAUCUAUAACUCUAAUUGGGAUUGUAUUUUUAACUUUGUAACGAAAUUAGUUGAUGUUUAAUCAAUUACAUUUGUCUAUAUUUGUGUUUUUCAAUAUGUAGGUAUAAAAGCAAAGAUGGUGAUAAAUCAUUUGAGGAACAGAAUAUUGCAAAAGAGUCGUCUGACAACGAAAUUUUAGACUCUGUUCUCAAGUAAGUUUCCUGUCUUGGUGAUGCACAAUUUUGGAUGGGCAGCUUUAGUGCUCAGAAAUCGUCAUCCAUCUUCUAGUUUCUGUUUCCUUAUUCUUAUUGCUUAAUUCUCGAUUUAUCUGUUGGACACAGCAAAACAAGGAAGCUGCAUCCAAAAGCAAAAAGUAAAAGCCUCAAAACAUCUGAUGAGAGGAAAACAACCGAGGAAAACAGGGUCACUGGAGUUUCUAAAGAAAUUGCAGAAAGGUAUACCGUUAAUCUGGUUAUUUCUUCAAUGUUUUGUGAUCUCUUCGUAGCUUCGGUAGUUAAGAAUGUAAAGAGGACGUGACUAAAUCUAAAGACUAAAGUUUUUCCUUGUUGGGAUCUUCUAUUGGUGUUUAUUAACUGAACAUGAAGUUGAGACUGCUUUUCUCAUCCAGGGAUGAAGGAGGUCAGUCCAUCGGGAUGGAUGUGGCAGAGGUUCGUGAAGAUGUUGCUGUCAAUAUCAGUCAGGAAGAUGCUUCAGAAUCUGAAGCAACUGGCAGUAUGAAUAGAAAUGCAUCUGUUCUUUCACCACAUGAAGAAUUGGAUGAUGCAUUGAUAGAUUUGGAGGAUGAUGCAGCUUUAGACACGUCAGUGAAAACUCCUGCACUUAGGAGGAAGAUGAGGAUGGUAAUUGACGGUGACGACGAUGAUUAAGAUUUUAGUAUGGCACUCUCGCUCUACCCUCCCAUCAGUAUGCUGUCGUUGUAACUGGUUAUUUUCCUGUUUGCUGGGCCAUUAUUGGAAUUGGCUGAUGUACAGUCCAGUUUAUCUAUUAGUGCAAUCCCUCGACCCCUUAUAAUCUUCUUUGUAUCUUCUUCUUUUAAGGCUUUAUUUGUAUAUAGAAAAUAGAGGUGUUCAGUUAUUAAAAAGAAAAGUUCCCUGAUUCUAAUUCAUCAAUCCACUGGUGAUCAUCGAUGUUCCUCUCAAGCCAAAUAAAAUUAUGAUUCCAAGAUUAUGAUUGAACUCAUAAAACUAUCAAAUAUUUUUGCUCUGCAUUGAUGAUAGAGAAGAAGUGAAAAUCCAGCGUUAACUCCAUUACAACUUUUUAUCAUUUUCACAAUUGAAAAUAAAGGUUGCCUCUUAAUCUGCAGUUCAUUUGAUUGAGGGGAAAAGAAGGGCCAGUGGGAGUAUCAAUCUGUAAAUAGUUUCUGAACACAAGUAUAAUAUUAUUUUACAUGGUAAUAACAGUACAUAAAGUAUACAUCAACCAGAUGGGCAGUGAAGUACAUGAGAAAAUUACACAUCCAUACAAGAAGCUCAGGCAUCAGACCAGUAUAUAUCCAUUUCUCCCACAUUGUCAGGGUCGGAUACACCUAAUGCCUUCCAAACUGCUUUAGAGGCAUCCACAAUAUUGUUAGGACAAGGAGGCUGAUAAUCAUGAUCAGAAUCACAUCCCAUGGUAGAAUCACAUUCAUCAACUACCUUGGCCUUGACACUCUUUCCAUUCCCAUGGAUCAUAAUAUGGUUCAAGCACCUACUCUUGUCGUCGAACCAUCCUGUAGAAAGUGCUACCACUAGCUCAUUAUCCGAAUGAUACUGAUUAUCACAUUCAGAAGGAGCACCGCCAUCACCACCAGGUGCAAAGCUAUUCACAGUUAGUGUUGCUUUUGUGUGACCAGUCACCGGCGGUGAACACUUGUAAGUAGUGUACAUCUUUCCCUGUACACAGCAGUCGGAAUCAUUUUCUUGAUUGCAUUGUCCUGGUGGAGGCUUUGUACCUCUUAUCUUGCCGCUUGGCCUGCAGGUUUGAGACUCGACGCUAGUUAUAACAAGAAAGACAAAACAAAGGAAAAAAAUGUUGGAGCAAAUUUGCUUCUUCAUUUUUGUUUUUCUUCUUUCUUCUCUUGUACUGUUUCGUGAUGGUUUUGGUAUGAAGAAGAUCAAUUGGGCUAUGCGUUUAUAUAGAGGCGAGUUCCACAGUUAUUUAAUGUGAAAUGAUGACAAUUUUAUGUUCGUUUCAAUUAAACAAACGUAGCAAUUCCUCUUAAGAAUGACAUGCAACGAUUAGCAACAGAAACUUGUAUAAAUUGUUGAUGGAGAAUGGAAAUAAAACAGAGUUAAAACAUAUUGGUUGUCAGUUGCAGCCAUUGUUUUGUAUUCUCUGCACAGCUUUUCUUUUGGUCGUACCUGAUAUUAUUUUAAUACUAAACUACAAUAGGAUCUAAUUAACUGAACGGCACAAAUGAAAGACAGGCUAGGAAAAAUAAUAAUUCUACUCUUCCUAGCAUAGAAAUUUAAAAUUAGGAAAUUUUUGUACAUGUGGCUAAACCUCAAGCCAGGUUCUGAACAGGCCAAGCCUACAUUCAUUGUUUUUCUUCUCUUCUUCCCGGAUAAAGGGUCUUAGCUUUCAUCUUUUGAUAUCUAGUGUGAGUGUUUUUGAAGUCUAGCAGAUCUAUUUUGCCUGAUUUUGGUAUAUAAUUUUACUCUCGUUGAAUCUUAUAUUAAUAACAUUAUAAAUAUAACGUUAAUUUAUUAUUAUUAUUAUUAUUAUUAUUUCACUUCAUAAUAAUUUAAUUUUAUGAUUGAGAACUAUAUUAAUAUAUUAAUUUUUUAAUGUUAAUUAGUAGAGUAUAUGCACAUAAUUCUUGAAUAAUUAUGAGCACGCUGGUGAAGGAAACAGUCAGAGUCCAUAUUCUUGUUAAGAUCAGAAUGAGAUACAACUGGUAUUUCUAUUGUUAUUUGCUAGAGUUGCUAUUUGCUAGACUGCAUGUUAUCCAAGCCUGACGGUGAAGAUUUUGCGCAAAGCUGGGUUACUCAGGUUUCUUCCAGAUAACCAACUCUGAAAUUAAGAGAAGUCAGCUCAGGCCAUUCUUAAAAUAGGCAUUGAUGUGUGGAACUCCAAGAAAAUGCAAAGGAAUACUUCUUAUUAAUCAAUCAGAACAAAUAGAAUUUGCUACAAAAGCCGGCUAACAGGAGUAUUCCUGCAUAUGAGAACAUAGUAAUAGAGAAAGUAAUAGCCGAAAUAGGAUUCAUUUGGGCUAGAGCACCCAAAUCCGCUAUAUAUUUGACACUGGUUUGCCGUAAUGCUAAAACUAUGAUGAAUGCAUCUAUCGUCAUUAAUGCAUAAAUAAAGAGACCAAUCAGUAGCGAUUGAAUUCCUUCUAUGGUUCCACAUGAAAACCAAAGCUCUGCCAGACCACCUACCACUAGUCUUCAGACGGAAGGGUUUAUUGCACAAAAGCGCCAGGACGCAGGCUCCCGAAGAGGGAAGCCCAACGAAUGUCAGAUGCAAAACCCCACACCUCGUUAAGAUCAUACUGGCAUACUCUCCCAAAAAAAAAGUUAGUUUGCUCACAGAUGCAGACAAACAACUAAUGUAACUGACUGCUAUAACAUGAUUGUUCAAAUACAAACAUUUGAUUUAAAUUACAACAUAUGAACCCACCCUCGACUCCCUCGAACUAUAUUCUGCUUCAACACCCAUGUUUAUAUUCAAAAGAAUUUUCACACCUUCCAUUUUAACU
rnacentral:lncRNA from 1 species